GACUGCACGCAAAGAGCAGAGAGAGAGAGAGAGUAUCAAAACUAGCAAAAAAUGAUGCUAAAAAAAGCUGUCAUCCUUCUUUCUUUGAUCUGCAUUUCGAUUGCUGGUGUUUCUGGUCAAGCACCAGCAACGUCACCAACAGCAACACCAGCACCACCCACACCAACUUCUUCUCCACCGCCAGCAACCACUCCUCCACCAGUUUCAGCCCCACCUCCUGUUACCCAAUCUCCACCUCCAGCUACCCCUCCUCCAGUUUCAGCCCCACCACCUGCCACCCCUCCUCCCGCAACCCCACCACCAGCAACUCCUCCUCCCGCCACCCCACCACCAGCAACCCCACCACCUGCUACUCCUCCACCAGCAACCCCUCCUCCCGCUGUUCCUCCACCAGCUCCAUUGGCAGCUCCACCAGCUCUUGUUCCAGCUCCAGCUCCCAGCAAGCCUAAGUUGAAGUCUCCAGCUCCAUCUCCCCUGGCAUUGAGUCCUCCAUCUCCACCAACUGGCGCUCCUGCUCCAAGUUUGGGUGCUUCCUCUCCUGGACCCGCUGGAACCGAUAUGGUAAGUCCAUUAUUGAUCCCCAUCUAUAUUCUCAUAUGAUUAUAUUUUGCUAAGCAUUUAUGUGAUCUGGUAAUUUAGUUCAACGUACCCUUUAAAUUUAACAAAUAUGAUCAGUCAUUUGCUCUAUUAAAAAAAAAAAAGUUUUAUUCAUGCACAGUUAAUCUCUUUUUUUUUUUAAUAUCAGAUUUCUAAUGUUGCUAAUUUCUUUAUAUUCAAUGUAACUGCAUUGCUGAAUCUUUUGUUUGAAAACUUGCUAGAUGUCCUAGUACCAUAGCUGGUAGUAGUUAAUUUAGUUAGGAUCUGGCGCAAUGCAGACAAAAUACUGUGUAGUUUGCUAUUGUAAACCGGAGUGUUGUUAGUGCUGCAGGGAAUUGUUUGUUUUUAUAUUUUAAAAGUGCAAGAGAUUGAAAAUUUUUAUUUUUUUUUAAAUUAAUAAAUUUUUGAUAUUUUUAUACCAUAGCUAAUUUUAAAAAUAAUAUUUUAAAAAAAAAUUAAUAAAAAAUAUUUUAAAAAACAUCUACAACCAUUCUUACAAACGAAUAAUAAUUCCCGAUGCUGCUGCCUCUCUCGGGUCUAGGUCUUGGGCUCUGCUUGAUGUGGUUAUUACCCGGUGUGAAUAUAACUAGAUUCGGAUUAAGAAUUGUGCACCAACAAGCAGUAGCUGUUUACAGAUCUGAUUUCAAAUUCAAUGUUUGACCUGAUUUGAUUAAAAUGAAAUGAAUCCAUUAUAUUUUAAAUCAGGGAAAUACAAUAAUAAUAAUAAAAAAAAAAAAAAGUACUGUAUGUGCAAGACGCGGAAUCCCGAGGACUUCCUGUGCUGUCUUCGCAGGGAGGACCACCCCUCUUCUGCUCAAUUGCAGGGCUUAUAGAAAAAAUAAAAUAUAAGUGUUUUUGGGCUCAAAUAACUGUCCAAAAUCGCAAGUUGGGUUGCAUUCAAUGGGGUCCACCGAUUUAUAUUUGGGCCUUGGGCCUUAUCGGGUCCAGCUGCGGUCCAUUACCGUCCCAAUUAAUUGCUUGAUUAGUUUUGUAUACGCAAGCAAUUAUGGUGGUUUCCCAUGCUUAAUUGCAUAGCCUACCAGAGGUGGGUUUUUACUUCUUAGCGUGUAAAUGUUGUGUCUGUAAUGUUUUGACCUUUUUUCCCACAAAAACUGUGUUGUUGCAGAGUGGAGUAGAGAAGAUGGGGUCCGUGCAGAAGAUGGUCCUGAGCCUGGUCUUUGGAUCAGCAUUCUGGUUGCUAACUUAGACAUAUCAUCUUUGUGUCUCAGUUUUUAAUUUUAUUUUUAUUUUUUUUUAAUUUCUGCUGUUGUCUACAUAUAUUACUGGCUGCCAUUUUAGCCCCUGCGCGGUGAUGAGAUCUUUUAUUACCAGUACUUGAGCCAUAUAUUAUACAUUCGGUUGGAUUCUUUGGGGAGAUUUUUGAGGGAAGCUUUUGUAUUCGAGGGGAGUUGUUUUGUAUUUGAGAUUGUUGAUAGUUUCCUCUUUCUCUCUUUUAUAUUUCCUUCUUCGUUAUUUGCCUCUGCCUUUAGUAUUCUUCAUCUCUCUCUCCUCUGCCUGUCCAUUUCCAAUACAGGCAAGCACUAGCUUAUGGCUUCCAAAGAGAAGGAGAAUCCUUCCAUGUCCCAAUUAAUACAAGAUAUUAAUCUUAUAAAACUUGAUUAACUUGAUCUUGAUUUUAAUAAUUUGGUUCACCUGAUCGAAACUGAUUAAAUUAGUAUCAAGAAAAAACAUAAAAUGAAAAAAUAAAGUGACAUUAUCUUAAUAAAAUAAUUUGACUUAGAUUAACUCAAUAAUUUAAAAAUCAAAAUUCUUUUCGAGUAAAGGAGUUGAGUAUCACAGCUGUGGCUAAAACCUUUCCAUUAAAUUUUAUGCAAUGGGAUGGAGCCAAUUACCUUUGGUAACGUGCUUGAAAAAUCAAAACCAACAGCUAGCAACGACUUAAAAGUUUUCGAGGGUUGAAAAGGGGAUGCCACUAAGAAUGAAAAAAACAAAAUAGAUCGAGAAAAUAUUUUCUCGAAAAAAAAAUCAAAAAAAUAAGAAAAAUUAAAUAAAUUGAUUAAAAAAUCUUUUAAAAAAAUGUCUGGUUUUGGUUUUAGAAUUCCAAAACUAAUAAAAUUAGAUGGAACCGAACCAAUCCAACCCAAAAUUAAACCUAGUAUAAAAAAAAUAUUAAAAAAAAAAACUUUUCCCCAACCCCAUCUCAUUGCCAAAUAGCAGCCGCCCGUGAACUUUUUCUUCUUCUUUUACUUUUAAGAAUGUCAUAACUUUUUAACUUCAAAGCCCGUAAGAUUAAUUAAGAUACAUGCAAGCUGAUCCAAACACCCUCAUUAAACUAAAAAAAAAAUAUCAUAACGUUGACAGAGACUUAUACAUCUUCCUCUAUGUUUCAAAUGUAAAUGAUAUGUAGAUUUAUUACUGCCACCAUGGUCAAUGUCACCAUGGUAUACUCCGAUCUACUGGAGGAUGAGACACGAGGUUCGGAUAAUUGAACGGUAAAUUUCUCACAAGUCUGAACGGAUUUAUCACUGCCCUCUUCAUAGGAAUUUACGUGCAAGGUUGGUAAGACAGAGGAAAAAAAAACAUUAUAUAUUCAGGUUAAAUUUACUGGAGCCCGGCAUGAAAAGAAAAUAAACAAACCGAACCAAAUAAAAAACAGUUAGUUUGAACGGAUUUUUAAUUUAAUUUAAUUCAAAAUCAUGAAAAAAUUAAUUUUAAUUUGAUUAUUUAUUUUGAUUCAAAACCAGAUUAAAACGAAAAUAAUCAAACCAAGGAUGCCACCCACCGGCCCACCCACCUCAUCUGAUUUAUAUUUAGUUAUUCUUGUAAAUAUAAAUGUUUCCGUAAGGGCAGUGAACCGCCGGCCUCUGUUACAGCUGUGGAGUCUGUUGAAAAAUCAUAAAUGGCUUCUGUUUUAUAUAAACACAAGCGUCAGUCAUAAAUGGCUUAGUUACCUUGCAGUUGCUUCGUCUAUAAAAGAUUCCAACCUAUUCGGCCUAUGCAUUCAUAUGCAGUACCUAAUUCUUUUUCAUUAGCAAUCACUGCAUUUUGUCGUGCCUUCGGAAGCUUCAACCACAUUCACCCAUAAAAACCCAAAUGCCAUCAUUGACAUUAAUGAUUUCUUAAGAAAAUAAACUCUUCAAACUUUUUUUUAAAAAAAAUAAGCUACUCUUAUUCUUGCAUGAAAGGCAUGGAUUUUUCUUAUAAAAAUAUGAUACAAAAAAUAUAUUUUCAAUUAAAACCAAAUAUUCUAAUUUAGUGAAUAUUAAAUAUAGACCCUAAAACAUAAUUAAAAAUUAUGUAUUGAAAUUAUAACUAUAAAAAUGAAAUAAAAUAGCUGCAUAAUACACAUGCACGGCAAAAAGAACAGGAAAAGCAGUUUUUUUGGAUUGGAGUUAACGCUUCAAUAUGGGUCAAUUAAACCAGGCCCGUGUAGCCCAUAAAUAAGGCCCAUGCGUCUGGGCACCUAUGGCGACAAUACUGCUGGCCCAUAAAAUACCUAAUCCUUCAAUGAGAUCUGCCGUCCUUCAUGGUCAAUGGAGGAGUAUGGGCAUAUCAGUAUUAUAUGGCCCUUGUGCAAAUAUUCAAUUAUUAAUCCAAUAAUCUUCAAAGUACGUGACAUGUAAAUUGUUUUUUAUUGAUAUGUACAGUUGAUUUAAUAUAUAUAUUAAAUAAACGAUUGUGAUGUUUUGAUUAAAUGAUUAAAAUACUUUUUUUUUAUUUAAGUUCACAUGUCCUUUUUAGACCCACCUUGACACAUGAAAAAUCACUCAUGUCUUUAUCUAUCAUAUUGAUGUUCAAUAAUGUUUUUAAUAUAAGUUUAACCAGAUACUCGUUGCUUGUUUUUAAACUCAAGAAAAUAUAAACAAUAGCUGUAAAACAUUCAUAAGAUUUUACAGGUAUAAUUUUAAUUUUCAGCGAGAGCGCCCGCUAGGAGGACAGCUACCCGGGUUUUCUGCAUUGCAGUACCCAGAAAAAGACUAGCACUAAUAGCAAGGCUAUUUUUUUCCUAUCCAACGGUCCUUAUUGUGUCUUUGAACUUGGACACAAAUCAACCCCUUUUUUAAAAAAAAAAAAAAAAAAUAGUAAUUUUACUUGUAGAAUUAAUGGGUGGUAGUACAGAGGCUCAAUAAAUAAAUAUUCAUCGGUUCUUGGAUGCUGCUGCUCUAUCAUUAAUACUGAACCCUCUAUUCUUGGUAAUCCAUGAUCUAGUGGAAGGUUCCUUUGCCGACACCGCCUUCAUAGUAUUUAUUUAUUUAUUUUAUUUAUCUGCGGAUGCAAGUUCCCAACUCUUAACAGUCAACACCACUAUCCAUAUUUAUAUUUUUUUUCAAGUGCUAAACACAAGAAAUUUAAGAACAUUUCCUAAAAUUCUGGUACGUGUAGGAUUCUUGUUAUUAAACUAGACAUGUUGUAGGAUUGUCAAGGUCAAAGCAAUUAUUCAAUCACACUGAAGGUCAUUUCCCAUAAGCUCUCCAGAAAAUUAAAAAAUCCAGAUUCUCCAUGGUGGUGUUUGAUGAAUAAUAGAAGUUGAUUUUUGUAUUUAUAAAUAUAUUAAAACAAUAUUUUUUAAAAUUUAUUUUUGAUAUUAAUAUAUUAAAUCAAUUUAAAAAUACAAAAAUAUAUAUAUAUAUAUAUAUAUAUAUAUAUAUAUUAAAAAAAAAUACAAUGACACUACUUCUUCUAUCAUCUUUUGACUUGAUUGAAAGUUUCACUUCCAUAGCAUGGAUAUGCCAGCUAAUUAAGCUUGACACUUGCUUGAUCCUCGGUCUUUUCUCUUAAAUUUGGUGUGGUUUUCUUGAAAUCAGAUAGCAGGAAAGUGUUUCUCAAGAAGGUUGAAAGAUUUGAAAAACAGUUCAAAGUCAACUUCAGUUUCUAACAUAGUCAUCUAGGAAGAUGAGCUAUACUUAGAAUAAUUAGAUACCAUUCCCCGUAAAGAAUUUGGAGGCAUAUACUCGUAUAUAACCAGGUCUUUAAACCUCACCAAACUCAAUGGAUCCCCUACUCCCUAGAGGGCCUAGACGAUUAAAUAAGACCAUCCCUCAACUCGUCCUGUCUUGACUCAUCUCCCUUUCCCAUAUGGAACAAGCUCACUAACCCAAAUACACACGUGUGUGCCCACACACACGUCGCUUCAAACCAGGCAGCACGCUACACAAUUCCUGGCUACCUGCCGUUCUUUAAUUCUAAAAGGCAAAAAGGGAAGUUGAGGUUAUACGCCAGCAACUUCAAUGCCAACUAAACUUGUUGAGGGAUCUAAAAAUCAUUGUAUUUGUUGAAGGGUCUAAAUCCUCGUAUUAAGUUAUUAACUAAACAGUAAUUAAGCACGCAUCAAAAUCAAUAUUUAAAAAAACAAUAUUUAAAAUUGUCGUGUAGAAAACGUGAUGUUUGAAAGAAAUUCUGACAUUAUGUUACCUCAAAAAAAAAAUAUUAACAAGAUUAAUCCAACAAUUUCAGGAAAAUAUCAAACAAUAAUGGACUCCACCAUCAUUAAAAAAACGUUAAAUUCUUUAUAAAACAACGUAAUUUAUUUUUAUUUUUAUUUAAAAAAAAAGCAAUAUAAUUUGAUUGCAGGUAUGGAUAAAGAAUCUUAAAAGCAGAUGAUAUAUAAAAGUCUUAUUUUUAAAAUAUUGAUAAAUAAAAAAUAUAUUUGAUAAUAACAUUAGAACUACCUCGAUAGCUGGGAUGGUGUUUUUAAGUCUGAUGUGUGAAUGAGAGGAACGUGCCAAAUAUUAUUACUACAUAAAACAAAAACAAAGGUCGCAGCAAACAUUCGUGGUUGUUGAAGUAAUUAGCUGACUUGACAUUCCACCUGUAAAUAUUGAAAAAAAAAACAGGUGAGGACGUUAUGGUAGCUAAGAUAUCAUUCUCAUUUGAGCCUACCUGGUGCGCAGCCUAACUGCAUUAUCAUUUAUCACUGCGCACACCCAAAUUACAUAAUGGCCGAAGGAAUAAAACUGAUGACAAAAAUAAAUGCUUUUUUGAUAUAAUAACAUUAUUUAUAUAUAAAAAAAUAGUGAAAUAGUAUAUUAUGUUUUUAUUUUGUUGUGUUUCUAAAUAUGAUAUUUAUUGGAUGUUGUUAUUUCCAAGUGCAACAAAAUAACUAUCUGCUUUAUAAUAAUAACAUUUUAAUAGUCGUAUUUCUAAAACUUAACAACAUAAUAAGAGCAUUUCUGUUAAUUUCCUAGCUUAAUCGGUCAGCCAGUCAAUUCAAUUGUAUGAAAUGGUCGGCUAUUUUACACAAAAAAAAUAUUUUUAUGAACUUUUAUUCCAAAUAUAUUUUAUCAAUGUUAAUAAUAUAAUUGGAUUUGUAAUGACAGAUAAUUCUAAAUAAUUAUGUAUGAGUCUGACACAAAUAAACGAGAAACUAACCAAAAUAGCUUUUUCAUUAAGUUUUGUCCAUUAAGACAGUGAAUGUCAAUCGAUGGUUAGCAGUUAGGUGGCGGCGAUUUUUUUUUUCAUUUUCCCCCAAUUUACUCUUUGCGGGAUUCACGCCAGUCCAACAAAAAAAGUGUUGUGUUAUUUUUUUUUUAAUUGUUUUUUUUUUUUUGUUUUUCAAUAUUAAUUUUUUUUUUAAUUUCAUUAUUUAAUAUUGAGUUGGUUUGAAAUUCAGUUUCAUGAUUCUUUUCUGUGGGGUGAUCCUAGCUGUGUGAUUCAAAUUACAUGUUCAAAAGGUUAGCCCAGAUUGACAUCGAUCUUUUGUUUAAAUCCUUUACACCAAUUUUCUUUUAUUUUUAUUUAAUCCCCUGGAAUUAGGUUUGUUGAAAAAUUAGACUUCAUGAUUUUUUUUAUUUUUUUUUAUGUGGGGUGAGCCUAUUUUAAUGAUUUAGAUUGUAAGUUUGACAUAUUAACUAGAGUUUACUCGAAAUUUUUUCAUCAUUUUUUGUAUAUUUUAUUUAUUUCAUCCUUUAAUGCCUCGUAGUUUGAAAACUGAACUUCAUAUUUUUUUUAUGUUUCACUUUUUAUUAGGUUAUUUUGUUUUUAUGAUCAAACUCACAAGAUUUGGCAAACUUGUCCAUAUUUGCUGGAUUUUUUUUUAUCCUUUUAUUUAUUUUUUUUAUAAUUAGAUUAUUAAAAAUUGAAUAUCAUAAUUUUUUCCAUUUGUUUUAUACAUAGUUGUUUCUACCUUACAACUUACGUCGCAUGUGUCGCAUGUUUGGCAUGCAAUCUUAGAUCUUGUUGUCCAACAUUUAGUUUUAUAAUAAUUAAAAUUCAUGUUUUUUUAUUUUAUAGUAGCAAACAUUAUUUUCAUGUAGGUCGUUAUUAUUGCCUUUUCAUGUAAAUAUAUGGUUCAUUUAUUGUCUUGACUUUUUUCCCCUCAUAUAAUUAAAUGAAAAUAGCUCAUUGGACUUAGUCAGAGUUAACUUCAGUUACAAUUUUUAUUUACUUCUUGGAAAUAGAGUAGCAACAUUUGAAUACUUUUUUUAUAUUAAAAAAAUGAUCUAGCCCAUAGCAUAGCGAGAUUCAGAAAAUAAAAUUGUACAUCAAUCGUCUAUCUAUGUAGAAGACCAUAAACAAAUGCAUGAUAGUAAAAAAAAACGUUUCAUUUUGUAUAAUCUAGUUAAAGAAAAAUAAAUUAAAUUUAACCAAAGUAAUGUUAUCAGAAGUAAUGGAAGAGAAAACCAUCAAUUAGAAACCUGACCAUACAAGGACAUACAUCAUACUUGUUUGAGGUUGUGAUAGUUUUUAUUUUUACACGCUUUUUAAUAGUAUUUUUUGUUUAAAAAUACAUCAAAAUAAUUUUUUUUAUACCAGCAUAUUAAAAUCAUUGAAAAACAUUAAAAAAAUUAAUUCAAUAUAUUUUCAAGACAAACACACUUUUAUAAACGAUCUCAAACUCAAUUUCAAGCAAGCAAGAAGUAGAAGAGUGGAACCUUCCAUAGUAUAUAGUAAAUGUAACUUCAUUAUUUCCUGAAAAAAAUAAAUUAGAUCACAUAAAAUUUUAAGAAUUUUCAUUAAAUUUGGUACAUCAACUUAAAUUUAAAAACCCUCAAUUAGACUAUUUACUUAACACAGGUUUUAAAUAAAAAAAUUUUAAAAAUAAAAUAAUCUAAAUGAUUAAUAAAAAAAACCUAAAUACACGUGUAUGAAUGAUCAAAACGGUUGAGCCCCUUACAACAAAGCCCGUUCACAUAGACCCGAAGGUCUAUGCCCUUGGGGUAGUCCACCCCCUGUUUUUUUAAGGAGUAAAAAUAGAUGACCUGAUGUCAUGAGCAUGAAACAUAAUAUUAUUCACAAAAUAAAUGGAACCUACGAUCUUCAACUAAGACACAUGCUAAUCAAAUGAAUUACAGCAUAAAAUAAUUAAAAUAUAUAUUUACACGGUUCAUUUUUGCAUAAACAGCCAAAUAGACCUGGUUAAAAUGUGAAGAGACAGUGUCUGCAAAAGGCAGGGAAAAAAAAAUGAGGUAUGACGAAACAAAGCAGUUUAGGAAGAGAAAGCAAAAGCAAGGGGAAGAAAUCACAUGGGGUUUUGGAGACUUUUUACCCCGUACCUUGCUGUAAUGACAUGUUUCAUGCACAGGUUUCGCCUCAAACGAUGCAAACCCGCAUAAAAACCUAAGCUCAUGCCAAUGGGGGUUUGGAUCCAAGGGUCAAAUUCUCUUAAUUAAUAUACACUGCCUUUAAAAAAAGUCGAAGACCCCACCAAGAAGGGGUCAAGUGUAGAGAGGAAACAAUGGAAUAAUGCUGCUGAGCUUUCCAACGUCACCACUAGAUGCUGUCAACCACUGUGAAAAGAGAAAUGUGGGCACUAAAACAUCAUGUAAGCCGGAGGAAUCAAAAUAUUCAAAACAGCAGCAGUCAGAAAUGAAUCAGGUCCAAACAAUAAAAAAAAGACCUGUACAUUGCACGAUGAAUGAGAUAGAAAGCUCUAAACGAUGGGAGGUUGAAAUGUUUAAUUUCGUGCAGAUCCAAAAACUUGAGAUGAAGGAAGUGAUGUUGAUCUCUACACUCAUAUGCAUGAAGCAUUCGAUGGUUGAUCAACAAAUAUCAUGGUUCACAUCCUUUUCAACAGCACUGGAAAAAGUGCCGCAAAACACAGAAACAUAAUGGUAAAGGAACUGGUUCGUCUCUCUUGCAUGCAUUCAACAGAUACAAAAAAUUCCAUUUCCUUCAAAACCAAGAACCUUCAAUAUGAAUUAAGCAACCACACCAAGAGUAACAAGCCCACAAACAGAAGUGAACAAAAUAGACAUAAGCGUUAAACUCAUGUUAGCCAGAAGCAGUUUUCCUUUCCACCGCCACUGCUGUAUGCACUCAGAUAGAAUUAGUUGAAGUAUAGAAUGUUAUUGUUCUGCUAUUUUAAAGCUUCACCACCUUCUUCCAGGCAUGGAAGGUAAACUAAAACUAAAACCUCCAUUUGUUCUAUCCCUAAUUGGAAAACCGAGCUCCAACUCCCUCGCUGGAUUCUGCAUUGAGAGUAUAAAGAUUCGUCUACGCCCCGGUUUGAGACAGUGAAUGAUUAUGCUCUAUUUUACAGAUUAACAGAGGUAGAUCCCAAAGUCCAAAAAAUGACUUCAACUCCUACUUCGUAAUACCUAACCCGUUAGUCAAUUGUAGCUAGUUACCAGUAUAAACAAUUGUAGUGAUGCAAUCCUACCCUGGAUUAGACCUCCGUCUUCCAUGUCAUGUUAUCUCCACAGCUAUCAUCUGAUUUAUCUAGUGCUGCAACUUUCGCCCGAAGUGCUACUAAUGCCACUGCACUCUUUCCCCUUUCAUCAUGAGGUAGCUCACAAGCUUCACUAAAGGACCCUGGUUUUAAAUCUGCUGGGGGGAUAAAACAGUCUACUGAAAGGCCAGGCACGUUGAAUGCAACCUCUUCAAUAGUCCAAGCUUCCUCCAUCUUUGUCUUGGUAUGGCUCAUUGCCACCUCACCAAACCUGUAAAGAGUCACAGCAGAGCGACCUGAGUGGGCAAUCAUGAUCCCCUCAACUGGCCUGUAAUCAUCAAGGAAUGAAUUGAUUGUCGUUUCCCAGUAAACUGCAUCCCCGCCAAUGGAUUGGUUGCGGGUCAGAUGUGAAUCCUCCAUAUGAACAAGAAGUCCAGUCUUUUGGCUGAAGUAGCCAAACAGAACAUGCCUUAUGAUCUCGCCCGGGCCUUCACUCCGAGCUUUCAGAGUCUGUGGAUCAGCCAAUACCUUUAGUAUAAAGCAAUCCUCGCCAUUUAUGUUUUUCUCUCCUAUGCACCUUGCAUCUGCAAACAUACUAGCUGUGGUUCUUGGAUCAAGACCCUGAAAUGACAUAAACAAGUCCACAGAUGAGCCAAUUACUAGAACAAAUGUAAAUGUCCAAAGCACAGCUUGCAAGAAGUAGCAUAAAAAACUUCACCUGGAGCGCUCUACGCAAUGGUCUAACAGGACCUUUGGCAGUAUGUGCACCAAGCCAAGGUGUGUGCCUCCAGACAAGUUUGCCAUUGCAGCCAGCACGAACCUUAUCACCCCCAACGGCAAGCUCAACAUACCACAUAUCAGGAUUCAUCUGCCAAAGCACAAACCCACCUGACUCAACACCUCUAGCAUCAUUGCGGUUCUUCACCACCCUUGUGGGUGUUUCAGACUCCGAAACUAUCAUCUUAAGCUUUCCCAUGGCAUAUGCAUUUCGAAUCGAGGUCUGCACCUGCUGCCCACCAGACGCUGCCAUGUACUGCUGCAAUAUGUAUUGAGCAGAGGAAGUUUCCUGCAGCAAUACAAUCCCAUGGAAGACAAAAUAUCAUGAGUGGCUCUUUUCAAUUUUUCAAAAAAAUUGGAGCGAUUUCCACCAAGUUAUAGAGCAGAGAAAUGAAGUCGUGUCCAAAUUUGGAGAAAAUACGAACAUUAACACUGCCAGUUAGCAACAACCUAUUUCACACUACGAUGCAAGCAUCAGUUUUAACUUAUGUGGAAAAAGAAAAAAAGAAAAUCCUUACAGCAUCACAUUUUUUCAAUAACGUGAGCAGCAAAACAUGUAACAUAACAUCAUGAACUUUUAAUUCUUUGACUUUUCCUCUGUUUUCUCAGCAACCAAACAAAAGAUGAACCCAAAAAAAGCAAAUAAAAAAACCCAACCAAAAAAAAGAUUCCAUGGAUUUAGCAAUUCACCAGUACAAUAACUCUCAAGUAUCCAGUAGCUCACCAAACAAAACCAUUACGUUCACAAAAAAAAAAAAAAAAAUCGUUAGUCUAGAUAUAAACACCCCAAAACUAACUUUCUCCAUUCUUAAAAGGAAAACAUUAAAACCCAAAAAGAAAAAGAAACCCACAAAACUAAUAAUCUUACUUAGCCAAGGUCCAAUCCAAACAAACAGUGUUCGUAAUUAAUAAAUUGAAAAAAUAUUCCACCUUUAUUUUGGUUACCCCCCCCCCUCCCAAAAAAAAAAACCUUACAAAUCACACACACACACACAACAAAAACCCUUUUUACAUUAUUAACAAUAAAGAAAAAUAGAGGGAGAGGGAGAGAGUUUACAAUGGGGGUGUCUUUAAUGCUAAGGUGAGGCAAAGGGUCUAAAGUGCUAACAUGCACCGGAGCCAAUGGUGCACCCAUGACACCAAGCAAUAACCUCAGAUCAGACCUCUUAUAAGCCAAACUAGUAACAGAUGGAGUCCUCGAUAACUGCCCUUUCAUCCACUGACCCAGACCCGGCCCAGACCCGGCCCGUUUAUGCUCACCCACCCCUCCAUCGGGAUCCGGGCCCUCUAUUAGUGGAGAUAACGUUUCCCCUACCAUUGGCCUUGAGCUCCUCGAUUUCCCAAUCAACGGUUCUGGUUGUGCGGCGUAGGAUGAAGUGUCCUUUCUGUGUUUUUUUCGGUAGAGAAGACCCGACAUUGAUGAAGCAGUUCUGGCCGGGCUGUUUGAGCGAGAACGAGAAGGGGAGAAUCCUCCGACUAUUUCUUCUUUAAGUGCUGAGAAAAAACCUUGCUUUUUUUCCAUUUUUGUAGGGGUAAAAUUGAAAAGAAAAGAGGCGAUAGAGAAUAACCGGUAGUGAAGAAGAAGAAGAGGUGAGAUUUUUUUUGGUUUUGUUAGAGACUAGUUAGGAGAGUUUGUUGAGAGAGAUGAGUUUUUUUCAUGGGAGAAGUGAAAGGAAUGCUUUUCUGGUGUGUGAGUGGUGGAGAGAAAGGAGAAAAUGGUGGGAAAACAGUUCGGGUAUAGACUGAGAGGAAUGGAGAGUGUGUGCGUAACAGUGUAGAGGUGUGUUUUGGGAGGGAGUGAAAAAGGUUGUGCUAUAUAGAGAGAGAGAGUGCGGGUCGCGUGGGUGGGUGCCUGGGUAGAGGCCAAAUUUGGGAGUAGUGGGCUGGUAAGUUCUUGCUGCAUCUGCCAAGCCGAAUUCUAACGACAGCUUUCUCUGUGUUAAAUAAUAAAGCAAAGUAUAACAACAUUCGCAACAAGUUAAAACCUUCAAGGAUUAAAAACACUGUCAUUGCAAGGAUAUAUAUAUAAAAAACUUAUUAUAUUCACUCAUGAGCUCCCUUGGCAAAAAAAAAAAGCUACUACAAUUCUUUAUAUAAAAAAAAACAGUAAAAUCCUGAUAACGAUGGAUAUAAAAAAUAAAAUAUAAAAAAAUUAUUCUUUUAAAACAGGAAAAAAUACCAGAAAAACAAAAAUACAUACAAAAAAUAAAAAUAACUAAUAAAAUUUUUUAUUUUUCUAAAAACUUCUCCAUCCAGGUUACAAGGAUAUAGCGGUGUAGCUUGAACUAAUCUCUGCGAAAUUUCCAACCAUAGAUUUUCACUGGAAAAAAAAAGAGAGGAGAGGUAUUGACAGGUGGUUGAGUGUGAUUGAUUGAUGAUUGCUAUUAUUUUUUUGGAAUAGAAACGUCUAUAAUUCAAAAUUGAAGGAAAUCUACGCUGGCCAGAAAUUAAUUCAACGAUCAAUAAUUGUUUUUUAAUAAUUGAUUGCGCGGAAUUUGAAGUGCCGGUUCAAUAAGUAUCGCAAAUUAAUUACACGAUUGAAUGAGUUAAUUACACGAUCUAGUUGAAACGCCAGCUGAGAGUAACUUGGCAUUUAUAGCUAAUUUAUACUCUAGCUCUAGGUUAAAGAAUGCAAGACUCAAGUAAUAAAUGUUCUAACUCGUCAAUGUAGCAGCAAAAAUAUUUUCGAGUUUGAGUUUUGUGAAUAUUUUAUAAAAUAAAAUUAAAAAAAAUUAUGUUCCGUUUUAAUUUUAUAUUCUAGUUCCGUCUAAAGACAACAAAUGCACCUUAACUCAAUAACUAAAUCUAAGUAUUUUUAUGAGAAUAAUAAAAUAUAAUUUUUUUUACUUAUAAAUAUUCUAAAUUUUGUGAUAAAACAUUACCAAUGACUAGUUUUUCCGAUAAUAGACUACACUAUAAGAUUUCUGCACUGAUCCUUAACAAGAUACAAGAUUUAAUCCCUAAAUAAAAUAUUCUAAAGUAACAGAAAUAAACUCGCUCGGUUAGUGUCCAAGUGUUCACGGGAGGGUGUGACCGUCAUUUACUGGUUACAGUAGGAUUUGUAGCCAAUAUAAAGGUUUGCAUGGUGAUACGUGGUGGAAAACAAGCGAGAGUAGGGAGAUUCACACUCGAGAUUUUAUUUUUUUUCCGUGGUGUGCUGAGAGAAACAAUUAGAUACGAUACUCCCUUCUCUGGCAAAAAUAUAUAAUCUGUUCGAAAAAUAAUUUAUAAAUCUCCCAUUUUCUUACUUCUACAAUAAACAACAACGUCUAACCAUAAACACGUGUAAGCUGCCGUGGUUAAAAAAAUAUUUUAAAAAGAAUUGUUAAUACAAUAAAAACAAGCUCUUAAUCCAACAAGAUCAAGUGACAAAUUUACCUCCUCGUAGAGAAUGAGCAAAAUGUUGGUUGGCAUACUCAUACCGCUAUGUCUGGUAUGACUUUUUAUAAAUUAAUUUAAGUUAUUUUUUAACCAUUGAUUAAAAAAAUAUAAAUAUAUUUAGUUAGAAAUAAUUUUUACUUGAAUAAUUUAUUUUACACACACACACCAUCAUCGAAACGUUUUUAUAUAUACGUUUCCAACAUCUUUUUAACCUGCUUCCAAAUUGGAGAGAGAUCAUUGUCGACGAGGAGCUUCUUAAAUUACCUGUCCCCUCAGUGGCCUCAUGGAAGCAGCAUUUCAUAAAACUAACACGAUACAGGGAAGCAACGAGGAUUAGCGGUCCUAAUUAAUUUCUCUCCAAUUUGUACAUUAAUUAUAUUGUUUUUUAUGACAAGUAAAAUAUAAAACCAUCAAAUCUGGACGUUUGGUUUUUUAUUUUAUUUAAAAAAAACGAUGAAUCAUCCAUGGUGAAUAAAUUUUCAAACGGUGUGUCCAUGGGUUAUUUGUUUUCUUUCAAAACCGACAAGGAAAUCACGAACUGGUUUCUGGGAGCACUCUGUACACGUGAAAGGCCAUGGACCAGGUGCGCCAUUUGUUAAAGCAAUCCUUAAACCUAAUUCCGGACUUCCUCGACCUGACCAUCUGACGCUCAUUGACAGUUCAUUAAGCCAGGCUUUGUGCAUGAUUAUCCAUGAUAGUUACCACGUGUGACACGUUGGGGCCACUCGUGAUAAUUUUCCUUUCGCCUGAUAAAUACGUUCCAAGAUAUAUAAAUUAAAGAGCAAAAAUAAAACAAGUAUGAGAGCAUCUAAGUUGAGUAAUCACGAAGUCUUUGUCAAGCAAGUUCUUUCCUCUUUUUUAGACUUUAUAGUCGUAAAAUACUUCGUUGCAAUUAUCACAUAUCAAAACUAAAUUCGCUUUUUUAAUUGAUAAAUUCUUACAUCAUUAUCCAAGGUUUAAAUAAUAAAAAAGAUUGCAUUAAGAAUAGCUUGAAAAUUAUUAAUUCUGAAACGUGAAAAUCUCAAGAGUAUAUAUAUUUAACAUUGAAGAAUCAAAAUCUAAAUCUAAAGGCUUAAAAAAUUAGUUAAAACUUUCAAAUCUCAUAUAGUUAAAUCUCUGUAAAUCUCAAUAUUGACGAUUUUCAUUUCCUUAACUUUCUGUCCAAGGAUACCGAAAGGUGUCGCUGGCUUAUUUUUUACUGCCACCAUCCAGUCUGCACCUGGGGGCUGAUCUCUGCCAUGGACCAAACAAUCAGCAAAAACUUUGGCCUAUCGGGACACACCACUAGAACAGAAAAAUAAAAUAAAAAGAAUUAUCAUUAUAUUAACAGAUAAUGAAAUAUUUUAGAUAUGCAAAAAUGAGAGUGCAAUCCGUGGUCUGACGAGUGAGAAGGACUUUUUUUGGGCAUAGCAGAUCCAAAAAAUAAAAAAAAUAAUACUUUUUACCUUUUUUUUGGUGUUGAUUUGCAGCUCAAAUGAAAGAGCCAAUGAAAAGUUUUUUUUUUUUUUUUUUUCAAAGAGAGAGCGCGCGCAUAUAUAUACAUUAAAAUAAAUUAUUUAAAACUUUGUUAUUGUUAGGAUUAUUGCCAUUAUGUGCAGCAAUCAUAGAGCAUUUACAACCUAUCUUCUAGAAGAGGAUGGCUGCCAUUGCCAUUGUCAAAGAGGGCUGCUAGGUGCAGCCACCUUUGUUGAAGAAGAGCUGGAGUUGGCAGCCACCAUUAUUGACCAAAGAACAAAUGGAGCAGCACCAUGGAUGCCUAUAAAUAGAGGCAUACGGUUGAGAGCAAAAUGAGAGAGUUAAGAGAAGGAAAGUAGAGCCAAAGAUGUGAGAGAUGUAGGAGAGUGUGGGCUGCCAAGGCAGCCAGCAGUAGCUGCCAUUGCAGCACUAAAAAGAGAGAAAUAGAGUGAGGUUGAGAGUUGCCAAAGAGGGGAUGAUUCCUCCUCCUCUAUUGUUGUACAUCUUGUUCUCUCCCUAUAUAAUGCAAUGGCUUCUCCCGUGGAUGUAGGCGAUUUGCCGAACCACGUUAAAUAUUGUGUCAGUGUGCUUAGCCUCCAAUGGGCAAAUAUCAGAACAUCACCGGUCGGAAUUCCCUACAGUUAUUUCAUCAAUUAAACUUUUCUCAAUAUUUUUUAAAAACUAAUAUUAAAUAUAUUAAAAUACAAAUAGGGUAUUAAAUAUAUUUUUUCCCAUUAUAACACACAUAAAGAAAGUUUUAUUUACAUUAUUAAAAAACCAUACCAACAAUUUGACUCAUUUAAAUUAUUUUUGCCAUUAGAAAUGCUCCUGACCCUCCAUCUAUAACCUUUUAUGGCUGGAAAAAAAAUACUUUAUUUACCCUAGAUAUUUCAUCAAGAUGAUAAGAUUAAGAUUGGAGUGAUUGUACAAAACGGUAGCCUUUGGUUGCUUUUCGAUCCAGCUUAAUUUGCUAACAAUAAGUGUGUGUUUGUUUUGAAUUUUUUUUCUUGUUUUAAUUUUUUUUUAUUUUGAAUUGUUUUGAUUAAAAAUAAAAAAUAUUAUUUUAAUAUAUUUUUAAAUAAAAAAUACAUUAAAAAACAAUUACUGCAACCAUUUUAAAAACUAUCUGAAUAUCCAAGUACAGUACUACCGAGGACAGAUUACUUUGAAGUUUGAACACGUUAUACUUACCAAGUGUAGUAUAAAUUAAAUGUGACCACCUACGACGCUGGAGCUCCGUGGUUAAAUUUAACAGGCAAGCAGUGGCGGAGGCAGGGGGCUGGGCAGGGGACCGCCCCUGCAAUGAAUGUUUUUCCCGGUUUUUUACUAGUAUAAAAUAACUGAAAUUUUAUUUUUAAAAAAAUAAUUUUUUUAUUUUUUUUUUCUUGCUCGGCUCCCGGCAAGCAUGUUAAGAAUCCUAUAACUGCAUCAUUCAUCGGCGUAAUUAUUAAAUAGAAUUUUAUAAAUGCUGUUUAAAGUUGCAUAUCUACGUGUGAUCUGCAAGAAGAUCUUAUGAUUUAAUUUUCACAUAAAUACAAUAAUCAUCUAUUGGAUGCAAGGAUGUAGACGAGAUAUAUAAAAAUAAAAUAAAAUAACGUAGAAGGAGAAAAGGUAUAAUAUACUACUUGUCGGUAUAGAUAAACAGUAUGAUAAUUCAUCUGGGCUUGAAUAUUUUAGCCUUAACGAGGUCAAGGUGAUUGGAUUGGUACAGUACUGGCGCUGUCCUAAAUUAGAGAAUUCAACACUAAAUUCACAGAAUGAGACAAUUAACCAUGUGAAAAUGUUAAAAGUUCCCGCGUUAGAGGACCCAAAGAAACGCGUUUAUUAGCUUUAUUUCUUUCUUUAUGGUUGCCUACAGCUGAGAGAAUCCUCCUACUAUAUCUUCAAUCUGCAAGAGGAAUUAAAUUGAUUUUUUAAUAUGGUAUCAAAUUUUUAAUAAUUAAUUGAUUUCGAGUUUAAAUUUUACUAUUUUUAUUUAUUUAAUAAAAAUUAAAUACAAAAUAAUAUGAGUCUGUAUAAGUGUUAAACUUAAAAGACUUUUACUUGAAAGAAUAUGUUAAAAUAUAAUAUAAAUUAUAUCUUUUAAUUUUAUCUAACAAUUAAAAUUUUUGAGUUAAAUUAAUUCUUUGACAGAAUUCAAAUCUACAAGAACCCAAAACCAAAACCAAAACCAAAAGGUUAUUAAUUUGGCUCAUCUUUCCCAUUAGAAAGAUAGUUAUUUGCUCAGCUUAACCUUACGUAACAGGAACAUGUGCAGUCUAAUUUGCCAACAGUGAUGUAGAAAUUUCUACACGAAACACCAAUAAAUUGCCUGCAAAUGAGGGCAUGCUUCCAUGCUCAUAGUUUCCUAAGACCAUACUUUGCUUUCAUACUGGCCGUUGCUAUAAUUGCCCAUUGCAGAAACCAUAUAUAUAUAUAUAUAUAUAUAGUUGCAUGUUCCACCUCGUUACUAUUACAAGUCUACUCUUGUCUGUUCUUUUGUGAGCAUGGCCUGUUUUUUGAAUGUGAAAAGAAAAACAAAGAGGAGGUUCAGAACCAAACUAAACGGCUGCAUUAUUGUUCUAGUACAACUCCAUUCUCGUGAGGAUUGAGGGUUGGCCACCAAUAUUCAAGUUUAUCAAUGGAAUAACGUAAUAUUUUUUAAUAAUUGAAACCCCCUUUCGAAGUAUGAUAAUGAUAUGAUCUUAAACGGGUAAAUGUCAAAUCCAGAUAUUAAUUUUUUACUUAAAUACCCCAUCACACUUUCCCCAACCCCACCUCUCUUUCGGCUUUGAACAAUUCGACUCCAUUCUUAGGACUAGGUGUGAGCUCGGGUUGGUUUUAAAAAGAUUUUUCUGACCCAACAAUGGAAUUUUUAAAAAAAUUAUAAACGGGCUCAAAUUUAGAUUACUAAAGUGAAUGAGGAGGUGCCCUUCAUCUUUCUUAACGAAGAAAUUCAAAACUAACUAAAAAACCCAUCUGUUGAACAGAAUAUUGAAGUGAGAAAUUACAAAAGCUUUCCUCGGGAUUAGAGCCUAAGAGGGGCCGGCAGCAGCAGAGGAAAAAAAAAACGAUUUUGAAUUAGGGUUUUGUAGUUUUUUUUACCGCGACUCAAGUUCUUCAAAGAAGAAGUAGGAGAAAGUGGUACACGUACAUCUUGCAGAGAACAGAGAAUGGAGAAGUUGAGAACGAAGUAAUGUUGUGAGAUCUGGAUUGUGUGAGCUUGAAAGAUGGGGGCGGCUUCUUUAGGUUAAUUUGUUUGAGUGGCGGCAGAGUUUGAAUUAGAUGAUCGGAUAACAAAGUAAAAAUAAUGGUAUUUAUAGGUAGGGUUUACGGGUAAAUAUGAGGCGUUAAUGUAAAUACGGGUUGGAUCGGUUAUUUCAGUUUUUGAAAACUUUGACCCGAAACUGACCCGUAAUAUCUAUACACUCAAUUGUUUUACAUCCAACUCACACUACAGUAUCUGCAAUAUUUACAAUUUGUCAUAUAUAAUAGAUAUUAAUACAUUUUGGUUUUGGUUUUUGAUAUUAGUUUAUUAAAAAUAUUUUAAUUAUUUUUAUAUAAAAAACAAUUUAUAAAUCACUUAAAAAAAGCAGAAUCUAAUGAAAUGCUGCAAAGGCAAAUAAAUUGGUGAAGCAAUUUUAUACUCACCCCUACCUAGGUCUCAAAAAGGUGAUUUCCACCUCCAAUUGCUCACGGCGAUAUAGGGUGAGAGUAGCUAGUCACUUCUAGUGCCCACCAAAACAUUCAUGGAAGUGGAAAAACAUAGAUUGAACUAUAUAGAAGUAUACAAUUCAAUGUAAUAUAUCGCUGAAUUAGCUUUUGUUUAUGUGGGAUUCAAUUUUUUUCUAGCUUCCGGAUUGUGAGAUGCCCGACUUACACUUUGAGGAUCGACGACACAUGAACAAACUUGGCCUCCAUGCAUCAAAAUAUGCUUAUAUCUAGAAUCAUGCAUAGGAGCCGUAUGAAUUAUUUUUUUUACAGGCAUAAGCAUAACAGAAUACAAAUAAAAAUAUGUAGAAAACAAGAACAACAGAUACCAAAAAUUAUUAUAGUUGUGAUGCCAUAAGCCCAUAAAAACACUCAAAAUUGAGCGCAUCACGACAUGGGUUAAUCAAAUCCAAAUCACAAAGGCACGUAUUUUUCUCACACUUGUGUUGCAAAGAGUUAUCAAUGCAAAACAUGAUAGAAAAAUAAAAAUCCCAUAUGCAAGUAAAAACAAGAUGGUAGGUGUAUCAAAUAUAUAUUUAACUUUAAAGUCAUUGUCGUACAUCUCCAAAUCAUUCAUGUAAAAUUGUCCAAGAUAUAUGUGGCGUUGUCCACUAACAAAGAAAAAGGAAGAAUGGACGUAUGAGCCGACAAUGAUAACAGAUUAUUUAAUUGAAAUUCAUGCUUUUACAAAGAGAUGCGCUUGCACUAGCUGGGAUCUUGGUUGAUGACUUGCGCGGUCCAGCAAUAGCUUAGAGCUAUACGUAGCAGAAUCUCAUUUGUUUUCAACAGAGGCAAUGAGUAAUUUUUGGGACAAAAGUCCUUUCCAAGUCUUCAAAUUUCCUCCCAAUCCUUGAGAGUUUGAAUCUUCACAGUCCCAGAUUUUAUCUAGAGUACUGGUGUCCCCUGGAGGACUAACAAAUUAAAAAUAGCUAUCAGGAUUUUUUUUAUUUUUUCGUUAAUAUAGAUGUUUGGGUUAGCUUACGUAUACUUUAAUUAAUUUUACGAAUUCUAAAAUUAAAAAUUAUAUAAAUUUUUAAUAAGUAUAAAAUUUAUAAAACUCAACGUGACCUCACUAGUUAAAUUAAUUAUCGCCCUCAGAAAUACUAUCAGAGGAUUCUUUUGAUUAGCCGGAUUAGUUGUCAUUUGAGAAUCUUGUAUAUACGGCGGAAAAAUAGAGGUUGGAAUAUUUGACUGGCGAAAUGUGGGAAAGCUAGCCUCGGUGAUGAGUGAUGGCACAAAUUAUGUACAAGUGACCCGAUGAUAGUAAAAUAAAAAUUCCCAAUCAACACUUUUGAGACAGCUUCUAGUACUGCUGUUACAGUUAGGCCUUGUCGUGUAAUAAAUAAAUAAAUAAAUAAACAGUAAGGUUUAAUGCGCGAUCACCAUUCACUUGUAUAUAUUCGUUAGAGCUAAAAAACCACCAUGCAAUGACAUGUGCACUGGGCUUGUUUUUAUAUGAUAUAUAUUUUCAAAACCCACAUUGAUUCAUCUUACCUCACAAAAUCUCCAUGAUAGGAUUGUGAUUUUGCAAGUGCGUUGGCAUCUCAUGUGGCUGAUUUCUCCGAUAUAUUUUUGGAUACUGAUAGGCUUCAUAAAAACCUUAAAAAAUCAACAUCUUUUUAGAGUUGGUAACGAGCUGAGACGAUAUGUAAAUGGAUUGUUAUCUAAUUGGAUGAUAGUUGAGAGACUAUUUGUUGAGCUUGGAGGACGUUUGAUGCUUAGAUUAGCAAAAUUGUAGGGAAAAAAUAAAGUAUUAGAUAUUAUACUGUGGUUCAUGUACGUUUAUAUAUAUAUAUAUAUAUAUAUAUAUAUAUAUAUAUAUAUAUAUAUAUAUAUAUAUAUAUAUAUCCUUGCAUGGAGACAAUAAUAAAAAAAACUAUGACACCUAAUUUAAUUGUAAUCAUUUGGCUUGGUUGGUGAUGAACUGUUGAGAAAAAACAACCCAUAUGGGUCAUCCACCGGGCACAAACAUAUCUAACAUCUUAUUGUUGACUCGAUUAUAACAGAAGGACAUGCCGGUACUUAAUGCUAAAUAACACCUACACGGAGGACAAAUGAAUAUUUUUAGAAUCCGGCAACUUCAGGCCGCCGAGGAAAAGGUGCGCGGCCGGUGCACCAGGCAGGGGGCGCCCUUUCCGCGGCCAGGGAUAGAGGACACAUCAUCCAUGCAAAGAAUUUCUGAAACCAGGUUGUUAAAAGUUAAAACCCACUCAGUAAAGGAUGAUGUGACCACUGGUUGAUCAAUCUAUAUAAAUCAAGUGGGGUAUAUAUUAUAUUUAUAAUUUACCACCUGAAUAAUAAUUGGUCUGGACCGUCUGGUGGGCCAUUUCCGAUUUAUACAAGGCAGUGAACAGUGGACAAAAUUGUUGUUCCUUAGAGACAAAGGCAUCCCCUCUGGAUGUUUUUCUUUUCUUUUCAGUACAUGAUAUUAUUUAGCAGUCGAUCGAUGUUUAUUCUACAACCUUUGUUUAUUAUGAAAAAAGAUAGGCCAGCAUUUUAGAUUCCAGUGUACUUUAGUACACGUGGUCUUGCACAGACCACCUACUCGCAGCUUGCAAUGUGAACAUCAAGAAAUCUGUUAUGCAUUUAUAACACACUACCACAAAUAGUUCUGUAUUGCCACGUGCUUUAUUAAGAUGAAAUCCAAUUUAUUGCUACAAUGUUUUUUUUUUUUUUUUUUUUUUUCUGGUCUGAUAAAGAAAAAUCAAGGUUUGAAUGUCUCUCGAGUCCAUCAUAAUUGAUGAGUUUACUUUUUGUUGAGGGUUUUACAAAUAUUUUUUAAAAAAUUAAAUGAGUUCGAUAAAUAUACUUACAUCUAAAAUAUUUGAAAUUGAUAGUCAAAACAUAUAUAUGGUAUAUAUAUUAGACCUAAAAAAUUUAAACAAUAUCAUAUUUUAAAGUUUUAGAAUAAUUAUUCAUACUAAGAUAAUAAUUUCUUAUAUUUAUAAAUGUAUAUAGGGUCUCUUGAGAUAUUUAUUAUAUUUACUAUUUUAUUCACGACAUGUAAGAUAUAUUUACUCCUAUUAACAUCGUCGAAAGUAUUAGAGUACUUUUUAGGUUUUUUUUUAUAUAAAAACAAUAAGGUUCAGAUAAUAUAAAUACUUAUUGAAUUACUAUUCAGUUAAAGGGUUCAUAAUUUUUUAUCUCUUAAAAUAAAAAUAUCAAAGUAUUACCAAACAUAAAACUCAGAAUAAAUAUCUAUAUUUCUGAAAUUUAAAUUUUUUAAGGAUAAUUAAUAUUUUUUCUAUAAAGAUAAUGCCUUUAUUAUUUUAAAAAAUCCUUCAAUUAAAAAUGUUUUUACAAGUAAUCAAAAUUUCUACUGUAAACUUGAAAUUCCAUAAAUUAAAAAGAAGAAACCUAAGUACACCAAGAUUAUGGUCUUCCAUGGGUCCCAAAUCCAUGAUAAUCUUCUCGACAUGCUAGCAACAGCCUUCCUCUUUACGCUCCAAAGCACGUGCAACUCUGAUGUAGUUAAAAUUCCAAAUGCUAGGAGAGAUGAGCAUGCACCUUCAUGAAAAGAAGUCUGCUCAGGAUCUCUGGUAUAAUGAGCCUCGCAUCCACUUUAUGCCUUUUCUACUUGAUAAAAGAUGGAAGAUGUAUACGGUCAUCUUUAUCCAGUUAAGGCUUUGUCAAGCACAAGGUGACAAGAGAGUACUUAAGAGCAAUAAGCCUGUCCACAUGAUAUAAUCAUCGCGUGAAUAUUAUUAAAACUUAUGUAUAUAUAUAUGGUAUUUGGAAAUUAAUCCUGAUUUGAAAUCGGUGAUCCAUUAACAGGGAAAAUGUAUAAUUUUCAGAUUGUGUUUGGUAAUGCAUUUUCAAGUGCUUGGGUAAUUGUAGUGCUUUUUUUUUCAAGAUUAAUUGGUGUUUUUUAUUUUAUUUUUUUGAAAUGAUAAUUCUAAAACAUUAUCUUACUAUUUUUCAAUUAUAAAAGGAUUUCAUGAAAUUAAGUUUUUUUUAGAAAAUAAAUAUUUUUUCUUGAUUAUUUUUGUUAUUUUAGUUUAGAAGUUUUAUUAUUUUUAUUUCUCUAUUCAAUACUAAUAGACUUUUCUAGUUUUUUUUUUAUUUUAAAAAAUAACUUUCUAUUAAUUAUUAAUAGGUUUUUUAGUUUUUUCUAUAAUAUUUUUUUGACAAGUGAUCAGACUUAGAUAGAUAAAUAAUUAAAUAUUUUAAGUAUAUUUUUAUUAUUAUGAUGUUUUUGCUUUUGAAGGUUUUGAUUUAUAACAAACCCAUUAUUAUUUACUGCUGGCUAUAUCAAAAAUUUAUUUAAAUGAUAUCCCAAAUGGAUGCUUUUGUAGAGUAUAUGCUCAUUAAUUUAAGGAUUGAUCGAUAUGGUGAUUAAUAAAGUUUACGUCUUCUAAAUAUAUCAAGCUAAUAUGAAAAAAAAAACAUUUUUAAAAUCAUUAAAAAAAUAAUUUCAAUUAACAUCCAACCUGGUUUAUGAUAAUAAAAAGACACUUAUGCUUAUGAUCAUGAAAACACGAAACCGAUGAGGCUGUGUUUGGAACAGGCCGGCUAACCCUGGUUCUUUCAAGAGGGUAUGCGCAUAUGAUGUAGAGGAUUCUAUUCAUGGCGACUGAGUUGAGUAGGUAAACAUGAAGAGGGUUAGUUGGAUGAAAGUGAGGGCCAUGCGAUUAGAGUACUCUGUUUUAAAGCUAGCUAGCAAUUGCCAUCGCAGGAUUAUGACUACACUCCUUUAAGGGUGGUCCUUAAUUUGGCCCCAUUUAACUUUCUUGGAUUCUUGAUAGGUCUAUUCAAGUCUUAAUACUUGGAACGAUCUUGUUCAUCAAUGUUCUAACUAUGCAUCUCAAAUAUAUAUAGUUAAUUACGCAACUAAAAUGAUCCAUAACUUUUAGAAUAUCGAUCAAGCCUGAUGAAUGCCUUCUUAAUUAUGGCUUCAUUUGCUUAAUUUCUAGCUAUUAAUUUUCUUCUCUCCCUCCCUAGAUCUCUCUCUCUAUAUAUAUAUCGGUUACCUCAUUUGUAGAUAUAUAUAACUAGAUUAUUUUCAAUGAUAUUACAGAUAUUCUGGUAUGUAAAACAACCAAGCUAUAAGUACCAUUUUUUUUCUUUGCUACCUGACCUGAUCCGAACUCUCGCGCUUUUCAAACAGACCUAAGAGAAGCAGCCCCCAUCUCUCGAUCUCUCACAAUCUACAUUUCUCAACAUUCAUUCCUUCUCAAACUCCCCGUUCUCUAUUCUCUCAAGAUGCAAGUGUAGAAAUUUAUCUUGCUUCUUCUUCUUUGAAGAUCUUGAGCUAUGAUAUAUUAAAAAAAAAAAAAAAACAACAAAACCCUUAUUCAAAAUCGAUUUUUUUCUCCUGGUGGUGUCUGCCUCCUGGUUUACUCUAAAAUAACAAUCCUUCCAGGCUCCCAUGCAAAAAAUAUAUUUAAAAAGCACGUAGGAAGGCACUUGCUAGGAUGAUAAUUAUCGGUGAUCAGCUGCCUUUUAGAUCAUUUGUUGAGACUUGAGGGUUUUAGAAAUUUUGUUAAGUUAUGCGACCUAGGUUUGCAGUCCCCUCUCAUUUUACUAUUGCAAAAAAAAAAUAUUGGAAACUUAAAAAAAGAAGGAAAAACUUAAGCAAGCAACGAACGAGGGGUCAACGUAGUUUAUUUGCUCGAUAGCCAAUACUUGAACGUCAGUUCAAAAUGCUAAUUACAUGCAUGUGUUUAAUCACGGGUGAUUGGAUUGAUAAUGUUGAUUAUAAUUUUUUUAAAAAAAUAUUUAACUCUUUUAAAUUCUUAAUCACAAAGGAGAACGUUGACACUUUCUAGUUAAAUUGAGGAAUGAACAAGACUUUCAUUAACUUUUAUCGUAGAUAGUGCAAAGAUCUGAUGAUGGCGAUAUUAUAUAGGUCUUCGAGAGAGUAAAUAGGGAUUGGAAAACCAACAUUUUGAUAAUAAAUACACGCAUGUGAGCAGGGUUUGAAAGAACUGGAUGAUUUAAAUGUUAAAAUUCGGAAUACAGUAGUUGGGCAUGUGAGGCCUCCUCCUUCUAUGCUAAACUCAUUUGACAAGUGUGCAGGGAAAAUUAAAAGUGAAAGUAAAAAGCUGAUGUGCUUGGAUAUUACGAUGCGUUGGAACUCAAGCUACAUGAUAUUAGAGGCUGCUGAAUUUAACGAGAAAGUAUUUGACUGAGUGGAAGAAGAUCGAUGACCCUGGGAACUUGGCUUUCUUUCAAGAAGAUGAUCCUCCUUAAAAUGCACCUCGAGGAGUGAUGAUUGUGGAUGAGCCUGAGCAUGAAACAUGCUGUCUUAGCUUCCCAGUUGAAGAAGCACUUGAAGGAGGAGGAUGGUGCGUAGAGCAAAUCCCAAGUAGAGAGAUAUUUGGUGGAUAGAUGACGAUGAAGUCUAUCAACAAAUUGAAUCAAGUAAUUUAUUUAUGUCUACUGUAAUUUAUGUAUUUUUAAAUAAUGUUCUUGAUCCAUGAUUGAUUCGUAUUUUUAUUAUUUUUUAUUUUAAUCAAUAUUUUCUGUUAGAAAAAAAUAAUUUCUAUGAUAUGAGCUCUCUAUGUUAGAAAGUUCGUGCAAUCAACUCCCUGUUAGAGAAUAAUAUAAAUCAUAUCUUAAGAAUUCACCUAACAACUUAAGCUAUUGGGUUGAGAUGGUUAUUUGACAUGGUAUCAGAGCCUUGAUGACUAAGCGGUCACGAGUUCGAAUCUUAUCAUCCCUAUUUAUUUGAUAAAAAUUAAGCACAAGGUAAUAUGAGCUUGUGCAAGUUUCAAGUCCAAAGAGCUUUCACUUGAGGGGAUGUGUUAGAAAAUAAUAUAAAUUAUAUCCUAAAAUCUCACUUAAUGACUUAAACUAUUGAGUUGAGAAAGUUUCUUGACACUCCCUAUAUGUUAAAUGUUUUCUAAGAAAAUAAAGUGUAUUAAUAGGGUAUAAAGUUUUUAUUUCUAAAGUGGAUUACCCAUACCCGAAGCCAUAUGUAUUUUUUCGGGCCUGCAUGCUUUAAUGCACAUGGCCCAUUAGACAUUUUUUAUGGGUAUUUAUUAGUUUAGAUACGAAACCGUGCCUGCUAGUCUGGCCCAAUUACCAUUAUUGGGCUGCCAUAUAAAAAGAAAGAUGGUUGUGUAAUGGGCUUCGACUCACAUUAUAUGUUCCUCUCCAUCGAGCACUGAUAGGAACGGGUCCAAGAGAUAGAGCCCACGAGAGAUGAAGUGGUUGUGACCGGUACUUUUAAGGCACGUGUUUCACAUGUAGUCAGCUAGACAUUGAUGUUUGUGGGCUUGUAGUUCGAAGCUUCUUGGCAAAACGGAUCCGAAACAAGAAGGAGAACGGAAGCCCAAUAAAAAAGUGACAGGCCGCAGUGAAAGAUCGGGGAGGUGGGUGGGUUAAUUGUAGAUGAAGAAUUCUUUUAAUGAGUUGUCUGUCUUGCUAUAUUUUUUCUAAUUAUUUACUUUUGGUCCUCGUUAUUUUUUAGUAUUUUUAUUUUUAUAGUUUAUUGAAUUUUGCAUUUAUUUCAUAAUCAUAAAUGUUUCAAUCGGUAAGCGUCGCUUGCAUCUCUAAUUGAAUAUGAAAAGAUAUAAUAAAAAAUAAUAUAUAGAAUUUAAAUUAUACAAAAGUAGUAAUUGAAUCUCUUAAGCAUGAAAAUAAAAGUACAAAGAUGGCAUGAGAGCAGUAGGAGCAUGUUUUGAUGUUUUGAGUGUGGUUGUAGUUGUUUUUCAAAGUGCAUUUCAUACUGAAAUGCAUCAAAAUGAUAUUUUUUUUUAUUUUUUAAAAAUUAUUUUUGAGAUCAGCGUAUCAAAAUGAUCCAAAACAUCAAAAAAUUAAUUUUUAGCAAAAAAAAUUGAAUUUUUAGGAAACACAGUUUGCACCGCGUUCCCGCUCUCUGAACCUUGGAAAAAAGUACAAUUUUUUUUUUCCAAGCUUGAAUGGGAGGGUAUUUCAUCUACCUAAGUUUUUUUUGCAUUUCAUGGGCUUGAAGUUAUUCUUUUAUAUGAUAAAUGCUACUUUCCCUUCUUUCAAUUGCUAGAAACUGUCCAGGGGAAAGAUUUGAAACAAGAAGGGUAUAGACAACAUUAAUCUGUUAUAUCUCCUUGGAAUUCUGCUGUUGUUUCUUGGCAGGCUAUUAAUAUCUUCAAAUUCAAUAUCUUGACAGUUAUACCACUUCAUAGAGGAUAAUAUAAAAUUAUUUAUAAUGUAGUGUUUCCUGAUUGAAUACCAGUUUAUUUUGAUUUAUUAUGAAAAUAUAGAAUUAAAAAAAGAAAUACCAAAAUAAAUAAAAAAUCAAAUAUAAAUGACAUGCUAUAAGUUUUGUAAUAAAUGCACUUUAAUCUUUACAUUUUAAAAAUUAUAAAAAUUAUAUAAUUUCAGCUUAUUGAUGUUCAUGAGGUAUUUCUCAAGUGUUUUUAUUAUACACAUAUAUAUAAACUUGAAAAAUGUUUUUUUUUUACAAAAAGAAGGGUCAAUUUUCUGAUGAUUUCCUACCACUAUAGGUGGCCGGAUUAAAAUCAAUAGUCGACACCUCAUUUGACACUGUAGAUGACACAUCACUUGUAUUAUGCUAUGGAUUGUGGUUCUGAUCUUUCCGACAUCAGGAUUUCAAGUGAUGGACUAGGGAUUAUUGUGGAUGUAUGGCUCUAUGAUUGUGUCGCUCUUUGGCUCCCUGAUUAUAUGGUCAAACGUUAUCAUUAUAGGUCUAUCACCCUGUCAUACUAAACUCUUGUAUAUUUGGAUUUAGUCAUGUCUUAAGCUUAAAAUAAUAUACAUAUAAAAAGUUGUAAAAUUCAAUAUAUUCAAGUUCAAUCACGUGCUGAGCUAAAAGUAAUGCGAGUUUGACAAGUUGUCAAAUCUAAUACAUUUAGGGUUCGUUCAUGUGUUGAGUCAAAAGGCAAUAUAAAUCUAGCAAGUUGUCAGACCCAGUAUAAUUAGAUUUAGUAAAAAGAUGAACCCGACUCUCUUAAGCAAAGACAAGAGAUGAGCACGACUAAAGGAAAGAGCUUAACUCCCUUUGAUUCAGCUAAAAGCUCAGCCUUUAUAAACGCAUCUGCAUUUCGUAUCUUGCUGUUCCUUUAGACGUGUAAGAAUCUCAUAAUGUCUUGAAUGUUUAACCAUUAUUAAUAUAUAUAAGAUAUAAUCUCUUACAUGUUUUAGUCAGUUUGAUGUACCAACUAAUUAUUCUGACUAGAAAAAAUUAAUAAGAUUCUAUUAUCAAGAAAUUAACUAAUCAUCUAUUAAAUUAGUUGAACGCUUUGGGAAUUCAUAGCUGGGAAAAGGAUAGACCGUCUAGAUCAUUAUUUGGUAACAUAUUCUAAAAAGGCCAUUAACUAUACGUUUCAAGCUUUAUUUAUUACUGGUCACAGUUUGAUUGAUCCACCAACCCCCUCCAAAACUUUGACUAAUUCGACGCAUAAUGCACCUAAAGCUACCAUCGCAAUUAUAUAUAUAUAUAUAUUAAAAAUAUAUAUUAAAAUUUACUUUUGAUACAAACACAAUAAAAUGAUAAAAAAUUAAUAACAAAAAACAAUUUAAAUUUUUUAAAAAAUACAAUUAGAUUGCAAUACCAAAUAUGACCUAAACCUAAAUUAUAUUAUACAUGUGCAAGAUUUAAAGCAACAAAAGAAUAUAAAAAAUAAAAAUAAAUUUAAAUUAUUUAUUAUCAUUUCUAAGAUACACUUCAUCUAAACUGACGAGAAAAAGAUAUAAAAAAUAAAAAUCUAAUUACAGUAAAAAAAAACAAAUAUACGCGCGCUGUGUGUGUAGAUUUCUAACUUUUCUAAAAACAAAAGGCCAUAUCCGAAAUAAAGAACAAAAUAAAUGUUCAAUAAAACCUAUACGUACGUGUCUCCGUGCUUAUGCAUAAUUGCUCAACUGUGUAAAGCUAUAAAGAAACACCAUCACCUCUGCUACCAUUGAGUUACUUUUUUCCUUUUCUUUUUCCGUUUAUUUCUUUUCUUUUCUUUUCUUUGCUUUGCUGAUAACCGGAGACUCCGAAUCUAAAUCAUGGCCACUGAUAUCCCAUCCUUUAAUAUCCCAACCCUCGAACAAAUGUAAGUUUUUUUUUUAAUUUUUCUUUUCAUCUCUACAAUUUGAACGCCUUUUUUCUUUAGAGAUUGAAUUCUAUGUUAACAAGGAAAUUCCUCGAACCCAAUUUGAUUAUACAAAGAGUUCAGCUACGAAAUUUUACCUUUUGUUUCUUUUGAACUGAAUUGAGGGAGAUUAUAAAUGAGGACUCUGUUUUUAGUUGAAUUGAGAAAUCAAUUUCGACCCAUUAAAUGUUUUUUUGCCCUUUUGUUUCUUCCUUGUAUUUUAUAAGUUACAGAGUGAGACGUAAGGAUUGGUGGUGAAAGAAUUGAAAUUUGGUAAUAUUUUCAUGUGGGGUUAUGUGGAAAUUUGGAGAAAAGUUGCUUGCAUUGAAAAAAGAAAAGGAUGCUGGAAUGCAUUGUCAAAUUUCAAUGAUUACUCGUCACGACUUAUCGAAUUAGUCAUUGCCAUUUUUAUUGUCUUUAAAUGUAAGCACUUGAUUUACACCGAUUUCUUUUAUAUUUUGAUUCUGGUUUUAGGUACAUUGAUUCUUGCAAGAGGCGUGAUGUCCUACCUAAUACGGAAAUUCUAUCUGGUUUCUUUAAGGUCAGUGUGGGUUAGAGUUGCACCUUACCUGUGUAUUCAACAAAACCUGAAAUAAAAUAAUAUUAAUUGAUGUGUUAAAUUUGUCAUGUUUGAUCUAGCACAGUGUUAUCUGCGUUAAGUUAUUGAUGGAAACAAGAAGUUGAACCUGAUCAUUGUUUUACUGUUCAGGCUGAGGUUAAAAAGUCCUGCAAUGAGUUAUGCAGUUUGGAGAUCAUCUUGGACCAUCUUAAAGAUAUUGACGUUCCUCCGCUUCUUGAUGUAUGUGCAACCAUAGAAACCUCCGAGAUUGAAGCAGUUGACAUACGCAAUGGACCAUCAUGCUCUUUGAAUGGAGAAUGUGCUUUAUCUUUGAUGCGUGCUUUCAAUCAAAAGCUUCGAGCAGUUGAUCUUCAGGAUUCACCAUUUGGAAAGGACUUCUUGCGGUAUAUAGUUGUGCUUAUUUAUUAUUUGUGUUAUGGUUUUGAUGAGUAAAAACUAGUUCUUUGAUAACGCACCGAGGGGACACCAUCUGUUUGAAAUGAUCAGGAAAGCCACAUCAAUAUAAUGAAUCAAAAAACUCUAAAAUGCCCUCAUUUACCAAAAAAAGAAAAUCCCUGCAUACCUGCAUACCAGAAAUGCGAAGUCUGUAGCCGCUGAAGGUUUUAAAGCAGCCAGAAGUUGAGAGAAAGGCCUGGAUCCUUCCUUAAACCCUACCAUCACCUCGGAAUCUAACCAAAUAUUCUCUUGUUAGAAUUGUCUUGAGUCCUGAAUUCUUUCUCUUAAACGAGCUGGGAAUUUCACUAUAGUUUUGCAGAUACGAUUUAUUUUUUUUAUCACUAACUUCAGUUUCAUACCUAGGGAGCUCUCGCAGAGAGGUUUGGCAUGCCAAAUUUUGAAUUUGAGGUCUUCUCAUUUCCGGAAGCUGAACAUGGCAGGGAAAUUCAUGCAAAUACAUACUCUCAACCUUGAUUUUAGUACUUCACUAACAAGCUUCCUGGAGGAUUGUUUUACUUGCAUGCCCAAUCUAAUUUGCCUCUCAAUGUGUGAGACAGGAGUUGCAAAUCUAUGGACAACUAUUUCAGCACUUUCUAAACUCUCUUGUUUGGUAGAACUUCGGUUUCAGAAGUGGCUAUGCAAUGAUAGUGCCUCACCGUCAGCAUCUUCAGGUGGAAAUUUGGAGGACCAACCUGAUGUUGGUCUGCCAAUCAGCUGUACUGACAUUGGAGAACAGUUGACUGAUAUUGAGGAAGAAACAUAUCUUAACCCAGGCACAGACGAGGCAUUUGGGAAUUUGUUUUCAUUCAAUAAUAUAGCUAUAAAUCAACCAGUUCAAAGUAUGAUGGAGGAUUCAUCUGAUGACAGUGAAGUUGAUUUUUCAAGUAAUUGGCGGGAAUUUGGUUAUACGGAUUUGUUGGCCAAUUUUUCUUCUGGUUGGAACAGGCAGGUCAAUCUGCAAAAUGAGGUAAUCCACAUGUGCACUUUCCUUAUGUACUGGUCUCUAGUAAUUUCAGCAGGAGGAGGCAGAUGCAUCUCAUCGCUUAAGAAAGUGGUGUCUUUUUGUUCAUUUUCAAUUGAUGGCAUUCAGAAUGAGUCAUUUGAAUUACAAAUGAAGUCCUAUUUAGGAAGUCUAGCAAAGUAUGAUUGUUGUAUCUUUUCACCUGCAAUUCUUUUUAAUUUUUGGCAUUUCUCCUGGUCACAUUUGACUGUAAAGGUUUCAUGGAUUAUAUAUCUUGUUUUUCUUGUCCUUUUCUUUUUAAAGGGGAAAGGGUCUGGUCAUUUAUGCUUAUAUGUGCAGACUUCCUGUAGUGCAUGAUCCCACCUUCCUUUAUAAUGCUGGAUUAUUAAAUGUCUACUAUAGAUUGAAUUUAUACUAUUUUCUUGUGUCCAUCCAACUCUCUUCUUUUUAAAAUCCUCAAUAAUCAAAUUUCAAAUUUACUUUGGUAGGUUUCUUCUGGUGCAUCAUUGAAUCAAAAAGAGGAGUCCCUUACUGGUUCAUUUGGGAGACAUAUUGCAGAUGUUCCUUUGAAGUAUAUCCCUCGACAUGCCUCACCAAUAUGCUUUGAGAAACAUUAUAGAGAGUACAUGAUAGCGUCAUUACCCAAUUUGAAAGUUUUGGACAACUUACCUGUCAGAAAGAUUGACAGAGAAAGGGCUGCUGUUACAUUUUCACAAUACUUUGAGUACUUACCAUACAAUCGGAAGCAUAAAGAGAGUGUUGUUAGUAUCUUGCAUAAGCGUGAAAUAAAAGAAACUCGUUCUCAUAUACAGUCAAAAAAUCAAAAGCUUUCUUAUUCUCAUGGAAACUCACAAUACUUUUAUACCCGGUCUCUUGGUGCUGCCAAGGUGGGAUCUUCUGCCUGGCCGUUCUUGCAUUCACUUUCUGUAUCAGGCUGUGAUUUGGGUGAUGGAAGUAGGAGCUUUCGCCCCAGACAAUUUGAGUACCAUCCGUCUCUUUCUAGUCUAAUGGUGUUUGGAACUCUAGAUGGUGAAGUUGUUGUGGUCAACCAUGAGAAUGGGAAAGUGGUUAGGUAUGUUCCAUCACUUGGUGCCAUGAACAGUGUGUUGGGACUCUGCUGGCUCAAGAAGUAUCCAUCCAAGGUAUGUCAUACUGCAUUGAGUGCGGUGAAUACGUACGGUGUCUUAUCAUUCCAUGAUGCUUAUCGUUUGUAAUUUGAAAUAAGUUUGGUAAUUGUAUAUGGCUAACUGGUUUCAGAAAUGGUUAAUAGUUAAUUUAAAGUAUUAUCCAUUUUGAAAUGAAGUUAAUUUGAUCUGUACUUCUAGAGCAUUCAGUUGAGUUUUUUGAGGUGAUUUGCACAGUAUGAUGCUCAUGCAUGUCAACUUAGGAACAUCAAAUUCUAAAACAAUGUGCAUGCGGCUUCACAAGACCAAACUGCUUCCUAGAGGUAGCAGUUUACCGUGAUAAUGAAAUUACUUUUGGCAACAUGAUCAUUUAAUGUUCUCUAUCUAUCAACUUUUUGUUAGAGCGUUUGAUCAUGUGCUUAUGAAGUUCCUAAUCAUAUGCCCCCUUCUGAUUCUGUUUUGGUUCCUCUCCCUUUAAUUGUCAGCUCAUAGCAGGUUCAGAUAAUGGUUCGCUAAAAUUGUAUGACAUUGAGCACCUGCCCCCUACAGUUACAGGCAGGUAUUUAGGUGCUGGUUCAAUCACCUUUGAUGACUUUGACCAAUUGACAUCUGUUCACAUUAACUCCACCGACGAACUAUUUCUUGCAAGCGGAUACUCAAAAAAUGUUGCUUUGUAUGACAUCAACUAUGGAAGGCGCAUACAGGUGUUCACUGAUAUGCACAGAGAGCAUAUCAAUGUUGUCAAGUUCUCAAACCAUUCCCCAUCAAUUUUUGCAACUUCUUCAUUUGAUCAGGAUGUCAAACUGUGGGACUUGAGACUGAAACCAAUACGACCUUGCUACACUACUUCAAGCUCUAGAGGAAAUGUGAUGGUGUGCUUUUCUCCUGAUGAUCACUAUCUUCUUGCAUCUGCUGUUGAUAAUGAGGUAUUAUUUGAAUUAAUUUACUGCAUUUUGAGUGGUCUCGAUGCAUUUCCAUCAAGUUGAAUGUUAAACUAGGGCCCCAUCAAUUGUUUUCCCUUGCGCAGAAUCUACCCUUAAUGAAACUGAGUGAUGGUGUACAUACAAAUUAAAUUUUUUCUCCACAACACCAUUUGCUAAAGCCUCUCUUUCUUGUAAUGCUAGCCCAUGUUUUUUGGUGAUCAACAUUUGGGUUGAGCCCUAAUUACCUGGGGAUCUAAUUAGUGCUUACUGCCUAUGAUGACAUGACUUGUCUAUUAUACUAUGUUUGAUAUAAGAGGAGUAGAAUUUAUUUAUUAGGGCGCAGAUGUGAUUCAUCGGGGUUUCAAACUUAUGGACAUGUUUCUUUUAUUUCAAGCAAUUCUAACAGCUAACUUCUUGGUGCUUAAUUUAUGCUCCUUUUGCAAUUUGGGCCUGGUGACUUGCUAAAUAUUCAUUUCCCCUCCAAUUAUAACUCGUGCACUGACUUUAUUAUUAUUAUUAUUAUUUCUGAUAUUUAAUAGAAUUCUGGUCACUCCUUUUAAGGAAAUUAGUGGAGUCUUGAGAUUAACAAGUUGAAAUGUAUCAGGUUCGACAACUUUUGGCUGUUGAUGGGAGACUUCACUUGAGUUUUGACAUAAAGCCUACAGGAAGUGACCAGAAUUACACCCGUUCCUACUACAUGAAUGGAAGAGAUUAUAUUAUAAGUGGGAGUUGUGAUGAACAUGUGGUCCGUGUUUGCUGUGCUCAAACUGGAAGGCGUCUGAGAGACAUAUCCUUGGAGGUACAUCCAUAUUUUCAUUUAAUGCUUUAUAUUAAACUCUUAAAUGUUAAACACAGUUUUUGAUUGGGAUGUGGAAGCAUAUAUAAUGACAGAAAUGCUAUGGAGUUAUUGAUAUCGGAGUGUAUAUGCCUAGGGAGGGUCGCAUUUUCCUGGAACUUGUAAAAUGAGCAUUUGUUGUUUUCUUGCAGGGGAAAGGCUCAGGGACUUCAAUGUAUGUGCAGUCUUUGAGGGGUGAUCCUUUUAGGGUGAGUUUACUUUUGCUACUAAUUCUUAACUUGAUUCUGGUUAUUGAAUUGUAGAUUUGAAAUUUUUUUUUCCAUAACCCUUUCAGUUUUUGGAUUUUAAGAAAAAUAUUGUUGUGGGAAUUUUACCUCAUUAAACAUCUAUGUUCUUUUUUAUUUAGUAUUAUUUUACUUGUUGCUGAAACUUCUUUUUUAGCUGCCAAUUUUUACUUUCUCUACUUGUUCUCUACCCCACUCUUGUACUUGGUAUAUUGUUAAACUACUAAGCUGAGGCUUGUGCAUUGUGGAAUUAUUAAGUGAAUCUCAAUUGUGUUUUUUACGCCCCUGUACACAGGAUUUCAACAUGAGUAUAUUGGCAGCUCAUAUGCGUCCAAACUCGAAGUAUGAAAUUGUUAAGGUAUGAUCAUUCCUUGCUCUUCAUUCUUUGUAAUUUGAAGUUUGUUGCCUGUUUCCCUUUUCCUUUUAAGAUUUUAUAAUUUUAGGGUAAAAUUUGCAGGUCAAUUUGCUAGCAUCUUGUGACAAUGCCAAAGGAUACUCUAAAAGCCAGGAUUCCUGCCCAUCCAAUAGCAUGGGAGGUUGAUGUGUGUGUUGUGUGUAUGUAUAUAUAUAUAUUUUUGGUACACAGAAAAUGUACACCUUUUAUAUUCUUUCCAUGGUUGAAAAUGUAUAUUAAUCGUCGCUUAUAAAAUCUGUAUCUUUGAUAUGCUUUUCUCAGUGUAAUUAAACAAUUCUAGCAUUAAUAAUCGAGGUUAUGAUUUUUAACAAAAGAACCCGAGGCACUAUAGCGUUUGUGAUUUUGAUUCGAGCAUUUGGGAUCUCAGCAUCUUAAUUGUUUCUUACACAACUAUAAAAAACUAGAAGUAUUUUGAUGUUAGAAAAUAGAGUAAACUAGAGCUCGGCUGCUUGCGGGCCAGCCGAAUAACAAAUUCUUUUCACCGUUGAAAAAUAAAGGUGCAAGCAUAGUCAAUGCAUGUAUUAUUCUACUAAAAUAAAAUAAGAAUUAUAUCAGUUAAUAAAUGUAAAAAAUAGUUGUCAAAGUUAUUCUAAGAUUCAAUCAUAAAAUUGGGAGAUGUAGAUUUAUUUAUUUUUUUACUUUAUUAUAUGACAAUUGAAUAUUGAAUGAUUUCUAAUGAAAUCAAUGACAUCUUGGAUAUGUCUAUUUAAUUAUACUAAUUAAUAAAUGGAAAAAGCAUUUAAUAAUAUUAAAGAAUUUAUUACAACCUUAUUUGAAAAUAAAUUUGAAACCGAAAAGCAUUCAAUGAAAUAAUAUCCCAAAUACUAUUAUAAUUAUUUUAAUGGAUCCUAUAUAAAUUCUUUUUUAAAAAAACUUUCACCCUCACACGCCAAAAAAACCUCUCUUACGGCAGCAUAAAACCAUUAAUUUAACGGAAGGAAUCCGGACAGCUCGACAAUAUUAAGAUUUAGAUAGAAGGAUCAUAUUAGUGACAAGGAAUAUUUGAAGCUUGUGCUCAUCACGCAAUGAGCAAAGGCAUCAACACAAGAGAUGCUAUGUAUACACUGUACGUAGGAUGGGAGGCAGCACAUCAAGGAGAGUUUAGAUGCUAAAUUUUACUGUAAAUUAUUAAAACAUCUGCUAUUUUUAACAUAAAGUAUGCUCUACCAUAUGGCUAGACAAAAGUUACUUUCGAUUGCAGUAUUCCUUCACAAUGCAAUCCACUAUUCAUGAGGUGCCGAAAAGUACAGUGAGAUCCUGAAAUUUUCAUUUUUUACAUGUAAACUAAAACAUCUACUACUUUACUAUGAUGAAAGUUACUGUAAAGCAAGAGAUGAAUUAAUGUGGAUUGCACCGCUCCCUUGCACUGCAAUCCACAUUGUUCUUCAUGAGGUAUGAAAAAGUUUGAUGUGAUCAUUGAAGUUUUCAUGUUUAAUCCUUGUGGUUUUUUAUUUCAAUGUUUAAGUUCUCUUCACGUACGUGUUCAAUCAUAAUAGGUUCAUCUUGGUAUGAUGGAUUCGUCCUGGAGUGGAGGUGGCUUUUCUCUUUAACCAUGAAAGUAGACAAGAGUACUGUUAAGGUUUUUUUUUUUUUUAAUAAUUAGAUGGUGUUUUUUUGUGAUAUUCUUGAAGUAUUUGCAUAUAAAAACAAGUAUAAAUUUUCGUUACAAGGGUUCAAAAACUUAAUUUGCUCGCUGUAGCGGGUGGAAAAAAUUAUAAUAAAUAAUCAUGAUUAUAAAUGAGUUAGGGUUUACUCAUCCCGAUUAAUCUAAGAUCUAGAACAGUUUGAGUUGAAUUUUUUUUUAAAAAAAUAUCUGGCUAGCAUAGUUUAAAAUCUAGACUAAUCUUUUAACUCAAUCUACCUGGAUUUAAUUUUGUAAGAACACAAUCUUCAAAUUGUUGAUUUUUUUCUUUCAAAAAGGUACUGUAUUGGUUUUUUAGAGUUGAUUUUAUCAAUUCGUAACCCGAAACUUGCCCUUUAUCACCCCUUUACAACUAUGCAAAUAAUAUCAAUGAAUGUGAAUCCCAUUUGGGAUGGACAACAUUACUAAUUAAAAAAUGCAUCGGACUUUUUUAUAUUUUCAGUCAUGGGUCAUAAAACUGGGAAAUAAAAGGCUCAACCACCUAGAUGCUAUGAGCCUCAAUAGCGUCUGUGCCCUGAAGCUUACGUUGUAUCAUUUGGGUUGGUGAAACAAACACCUAGUUAUGGCGCUGAGUACUCGUGGGCACAAAAGGACAAAGGAUCAAAGGAAAUCAGCAGUGCUCCCUUCACAAAAGGACAAGGCUGCUAGCUGAAACCUUGCAACAGAUGGUCUGUAUGCAUGGCUGAAUCCAUCGCUCCCUCAUAAAGUGCCAAGCAAAGCUCCAGCUGUUCAAUCUAUUGCCCACACCCGUAUCACUAUCUUUAUUAAUAGCUUUGCUGCUAUAUAUUCCCACGUAAUCUCUCACUGCUCUCUUCACUUCACUACCCUGAUCUCUAGAUACUUCCAUUAAUUAUCAUCCUUGCUUGAGGCAAAACAAAAGAUGAAGAAGCUCUUCUUUGCUACUUUGCUGUUGUGUUCACUCCUCUUCAGCUCGUCUUUCUUGGAACCUGUCAUGGCUAAGUCAUGUAACUAAUCAAAGGGCUUCGUUUAUUUGAAGUUGAAAUAUUAUUGUAGUGUUUGUUAGACCCUCAAAAGCACAUAGAGUAGACUCCAUCCCAUGCAUUUUGUGUUAACUAUUUAGUAAUUUUCUGAAUAUACACUGAUGUUGGCGAUAUUGUCUAUUGGUGUAGCUUUCUGUGCCAAGAAGUGCGAAACGAGGUGCGCAAACGCUGGCAUACAGGAUAGGUGCUUGAAGUACUGUGGAAUAUGCUGCGAACAGUGCAAGUGUGUGCCCUCUGGAACUUAUGGGAACAAGCAUGAGUGCCCUUGUUACAGGGACAAGAGGAACUCCAAGGGCAAGCCCAAGUGUCCUUAAAUCAACCUCUUAGACAGUCAAGAUGUGCAUGUGUUGAGAAAGAUAUCAUGUAUAUGAGCUAGCAGUACUGUAACAGUUCUCGAGACUCGAAUAAUUAGAUAUGAUAAGAGGACGCUUCUUCUUCUUCUUCUUCUUCGCAUCACUUAUGGGGUUUGAUUAGCAUGGGUGUGAUCGUGUAAUGAAGAACAGUGAAUUAAUGUUGGGAUUUGUAUAAAAUAAUAUCUUUCUUUGCAUCGUACAUCAUAUAUUUUGUGGUUAAUAACUUAAUAUAUAUGUGUGUGUGUGGUCUUUUAUAUGUUCAUUGCUAUGAUUAAACUGGUAUCAGAAUCCCUCUACAUUUCAAGAUUCUCGUUUUUUUCCUCUUCUUAUAAUUAAUUAAAUCAAUUAAAUUUCUUUUUCUUUUUACCAGUCUUCGGAAUCACGCUUUAUGUUUUUUUUUAUCGGAGAAUAUAAGCUUAUAUGUUAUAAUAAUAGCAAUACUAAUAAUAUUUUAACUAAAAGGUUUUUAUUCUUAUUUUUUAUAAUCUCAUACAGUAUAUAAUAAAUUGUACCUUACAACUCAAUUAAUACUCUAACUAGAUUAAAAUAUUGGAUGAUCAAUGUAUUUUUUAGUAUAACUAAUCAAUGUUAAUUAUUUCUAGAGCGUGAUUCGUGUAUAGUAAUGUUGUUUUUUAAAAUAAAUUGAAAUAUUAUUAUUAUUAUUAUUUUUUAUAUUAUUAUUAAAAAAAAUUUUAAAAAAUUAUAUUUUUUUAUAAACACUAUCUCAUUCUAUAUAACUAAAUCAAUACAUAUAAAUUGUUAAUAUAGAGACGGUAGUAACGUUCAUGUAUGGACAUGGCAGGUUAGUAGAGUGGUAGGGGUUGAUUUGUUGAUUGCCAAUUGGCUAAAACAAAGACACCGACAGAUUUAUGUAUACCAAGAAGGUACUGACUGUACUGUACUCUAGUAGUUGGGUCCUUGCUGGACAUGCCCUUCGUACACAAAAUCCCAUUAAUAAAUAAAUAAACAUUAUAGAAAAGCUAAGCUUUCAGAUCAGCCCAAAAUUCUAAAACGGAGGCUAUUAUGUGGGUUCUGAACUUGUUAAAUGGACCUCACCUUGACGUGCAGGACCCGGCCCAAGCCCAACACUCGAUCAAAACGGUAUGCAUUAAGCCAUUUUCUUGCCGAAGUGCAACUGUCCAAGCAAAAAAUCUCCUUGCAUUUCUUUCGAUUUCCCAUUUUUAAAAAUUCGUUUCGUGCAAGCGAGAGAGAUCUCCCGAAAUCAUCCAACAAUGGCAAACCCUAACGUUCAAGAGAUUAUAGAGAAGCAAGUACUUACUGUAGCGAAGGCAGUGGAAGACAAGAUCGACGAAGAGAUCGCAGCCUUAGAUCGUCUCGAUCUCGACGAUAUAGAGGCAUUGAGGGAGAGACGCUUGCAACAAAUGAAGAAAAUGGCGGAGAAGCGUAGCCGUUGGAUCUCUUUAGGUCAUAGCGAGUACACUGAGAUUCCAUCAGAGAAGGAUUUCUUCUCUGUUGUCAAAGCUAGUGAUCGUGUCGUUUGCCAUUUCUAUCGCGAUAAUUGGCCUUGCAAGGUAAUACUGGAAAUCAUUAUCACUUUCAUUUAUAUAGUUAAAGAAAGUUUUUUUUUAUUGAUGUUUUAGUGUUUUAAGGAAUUUCAUUGUUCUUGUAGGAAUUAAAAUCUUGGAAUUUUGAGUUUUGUAGGUUUUAUUUAGCAAGUUUUGCAACUUUUUUUUUUAUGGGAGUGGAUGUUCAGGGUUUUGCUAGUCUUUGUUUCUUGACAUGGGCUGCGAAGGGCAAUUUAUAAAUAGGAUUGUUCUUAAUCAAAGUUAGAGGUUCCCUGAUGCCAGAACUAUUAUCUGUUGUGUUUUAUAUACUGAUUCAAAUACUUAUGCAGUUAGUUCUCAUUUAAAUAGCAACAUAAUACCGUUGCUUAAUUGCUUGAUCUUGCCAACAUUGUAGAGAUAAUUAUGCUAAAGAACUCCUAACUACUUUCUAGCUAUUCGGCAUGUGAUGAGCUACUUUGUGUGUGAAAGUGAUAGUAGUAUUGCCUUUACAUAAACUGGGAAAAGGGGAGAUUUAGGAGAAGUUCUUAUGCUUACAGUUCAUUUGCAGGUGAUGGACAAGCACAUGGGUAUACUGGCAAAGCAACAUAUAGAGACACGUUUUGUGAAGAUUAAUGCUGAGAAAAGUCCAUUUUUGGCUGAGAAACUCAAGAUUCUUGUUCUUCCAACACUUGCACUUAUAAAGAAUGCCAAAGUAGAUGAUUAUGUGGUAUGUUAUUUAUAUAUAUAGCCAUGCGUUGUUGACUAAAUUCACUCCUUUUUUCAGCUGUUUUGAAAGUUAGACUGCCCUGUUUUUAUUGUCCAGGUGGGAUUUGAUGAGCUUGGAGGGACAGAUGAGUUUAACACAGAGGAUUUGGAGGAGAGAUUGGCUAAAGCUCAAGUAAUCUUUUUCGAGGGUGAAUCAUCUCUAAAUUCAUCUAAAUCAAGUGCACAAACCAGGAGGAGCGUGCGACAAAGCGAGAGCCAUGACUCUUCAGAUUCAGAUUAAGUCACAGUAAGCUCAUUUUGGUACAAGGAGAUUUUAAUCCUAGUCUCGUAGAGCAUGUGUGUUGCAAUCUGCAAAUUGAGCCACAGCUCAUUUGACUGCCAUAGCUGUGUUGUUCGGUUUGUAGAAAGCAGAUCGGAUAUUCUAUCCUUGAGCUUUAUGUUGUACAAGUCUAUGAGUCUCAGCUGCUAUAUUGGGGUGGCAUUGUCAUUUGAUUCUUGUAUUUGAUAUAAACCUUAUCGAUUAUUCCAUAUUUUGAGAUCCAUGUUGUCAUUGGGCGUCGUCCGGUGGAUGGGAUUAUGGCGCUGUCAACUCUUGUACUAUUUGUUGUAUUAGCUGAAUUUCUGAAACAGCUUCCAGAUGAAAUUCACCGAAGCAUUAAUAUUAUGUAUGAUAUUUUGCUUUGAUGCUCCUAUUUGCAAGAUGCAAUGUAUUCACUGACGAUGCAUGCAAGCAGAGCACGUUUUUUCCAGUGGGUCUGUAGCCCAGUGUUAAAAGCUCACAGCAAGCCCAGUAACUGUAAGUCAAAGGCCAGCUCAAAGUCUAGAUUAACAGGCCCAAAUGCUGAUACAAGUCUUUAUUAAUAUUAAUUUAUUUACCUUCCAUGCUUUCAUUUCCCGCCAUCCGCAAUCACGCUACUAUCAAAAUUCGAAACGUCCUCCCUGUCCACCCCACUCCAUUAAGCUCGUCUCUCUCAUUCUGUUUCUUGAAACUUGGAUAUCCCUCCAAUUUUGUCACUGUAGGGUUUUUAUUAAAUUCGUCUUUGAAACUUGGAUAUCUCUCCAAUUUUGUCACUGUAGUUGCUAGUUAAUUUCUUCUAUUUAAAAUUUAGCUAUUUCUUGGUGAUCAUUUCUCUUCUUCAGAUUUUGUUGUUACCUCUUGAAAGUGUUUCUUAUUAUUGAAUCUUCAGACCGGCUAGAAAUUUUCAGAACGCAAUUAAUCUGUGGGGCUCUUUCGUGGUGCUGUCAUCAUUGAAAUUAAUUAAAUGAUAUUAAACUGAUAAAUAGGAAUUAGAAUGAUAUAUCAUCAUUGAAAUUAAUUAAAUGAUAUUAAACUGAUAUAUAGGAAUUAGAAUGAUAUAUCUUAUUUAGGUUCCACAAGUUAUCCUUCGUAUUGUAAUAACUAAUAUCAAACGCUGAAGACCAUUAAUUCAGUCUAUUUAUAUGUUUUAACUAGUAAUGCAAGUGGGUUGGAUGCUUUAUUCUUUUUCCAUCACAACACCUAGACUUUAGCUGAGUAUGACUGUGUAGGCGGGAGCAAAACCCUGCGCUUUUCAUUGAUACCAAGUUGAAUUAUUGAUCACCUAGAUACACGACUAGGCAUAUCUUUUUCCUCCUUUCUUUCAAAUAAAGUAGAGAACCGUGUUGAAUGCUAGUGAUCCUUGCAUUAAAUGCUUCAUAGACAGAAUAGAAACAUCUUUGUAUCAUCUGAGAAUGGUGCUACAUGAAUUAUUUGUGAAAAUGGUGUCAGCCAACUUGAACUGAUAAUGAAAUUUCAAUGUUGGCUGUUGCCCCCCGGAAACAAUGAUCGUGAAACAGAAAAAAGAAAAGACAAGGUUCCUCUAUUAUUGUUUACUUUCAUGAGACAAUGGCUGCGAAAGCAAAAAUAUAAGAUGUCCCUUUCUGUAUUCUUUUGCUAGCAUCACUUUUCUUGCUUUGAUUGCAUACAAGAUUUACUUUGCGAUUUGUGUCCCCCCAUUUUAUCCAUUUUGCCGUGUAAUCUUUUAGUUUUAUUAUUAUGCAGGCUUGCGGAGUUGAAACUGCUGGGCGAGUCUAGAGCUCUUUCUUUGGUGUUAGGAAACAGAAACAUGGAGAUUUAUUCUGAGAGUUCACGUGAUGAGAGUGGAAAAUGGGAUAAGCACUGGUGGGGGAGGCGGCGGUGAUGCAGUGUGAAAGUGCACAAGAACCGCGUAAAUAAAGAAAUCACGACCAUCUGGAGCACUUUUAGUGAAAAAAAUCUACAUGCCAACAAAUGCUAUGGAGCUGGAACUUUUGCAUCCUAGGGUCCAGUACAUAUUCUACUUAGCUGCCUGGUUGACCAGUGCUUUCUCUUCUAAUUGUCAUUUUGAUCUAUAUAAAUGGCUAUGUAGGCUACACGUAUAAUGCAUUUUGUUGACUUGUUUCUGGGAUUUCUUUCAAGCAAUGAAAUCAUGUCAUCUCUGUGCGAUGUAUUGGUAUCUAAAAAUUAUCAUAAAAAGCCUUCUGUCUCUAUAAACCGUGAGACUUUUUGCAGCAUGAUCAAACGAGAUUGAAGUUGCUACCUGAGUCAGCUGUUGCCUUUUCAUUACUAAGCAUGACUUUGCCUUACCCAGUUACCCAUGCGCUCCUCCCUUCUCUACCUGCAAGACUGCAUAUGUGCGUUAAGUUAUUCCGGCGACCAAAAAAAAAAAAAAAGGUUUAGGUUUUCACGAAAACCUUAUUUUGCGAAAUUAUCGAACUUUCACUCUCACGCAGAACAUAAAAUGUUGUAGAAGACCUGGACACGUGGCUUUGUCAUUUGAAUUUUUUUUCUUGCUUGAUAUAAAUCCUAAGAUGACCCCUUUUCAGCAUAAUUAUAGGAGGGAAAGAAAAAAAAGACCCUUCCCGCCUUUAUCUCCCGCCAGCCACCUGCAAUGGCGUGAUAUCAAAAUCGACCUUAACUCCACUUUCUUAAAUACGCCUUCUGUCUCUCUUUGAGACUUUCUAUCUUCUUUAGUCACCAGGUAUUUCUUCUCUUUACUUCACUCUUACAGAAAUUGCUAUGGUUACUCCAGAUUCUUACUGUUAUUGCUUAGACCAGAACAACACCUGUGCAUGUCUGUUAAAACAAAUGGUAGGACUGUCAAAUCACUUAAUUUUACAUGUCAAGCUAUGAAAGGAAUGAAAAUACCAUGUUGAUAUGUGGUUUAACUUGAGCAGGUGAAAUAUUAAAUAUGGAUACAUGGCCGUACAUAGAACACAAGUCCUGCAUUUUUCGUGUGUGUGUGUAAUUAAACAGAAAAGAAAGGGUGAGAGGCAAUUACAAAUUCUCGGCUCAAUAACCAGAGGUUAUGAAAACCACAGCUUGUAACAAGUGUGAAGAAAUUUUGAUUUCUCCCCUCCACAUUUACUGGUAAAUGACCUUCUUAUGAUCAUUCCUUGGAUAUACUCACACCUGCAACAACGUUUGAAAAAAAUUGCAAUACUAACAGCACUAGCUAAAAACAUAAAUGAAAGUAAAAACACACAGGUUUCUCCUUCGUGCGCGUGUGUGGUGAUAAUCGGACUGAAAAAAGAAAAGGACGAGAUAAUAUACUGCUGAAAUGUAAUAAGGUAUUCUAUUACACGUAAGGAAACUAUCUAUCCCCAGGAGCUCAAUUGGACUAUACUUGCAUCUCACUUCCAGCCUCUUCAUGUUGCAAAACAAACUUUGAAUAUUUACAAUCCGAAGCAUCUGAAAGAAAGCACCUUCAAGCAACUUGCUCAUCUUCACAGUGAUCAUUUUCUUCAUGGCUUGUCAAGGAUAGAAGUUCCAUCAGCUCCAUUCGGUGCUCAAGACCUCGAAGGUAGUGCCCCAAAAGCAUACACCUUGAAGAAUAAAAGACAACGGAUGUAGCAAUGUAUUAAAAUCUGUUGCCAGGGGGGAAAAUGCAAACAUCGUGAAAAAAGAGUUCAAUGAGAAAGCCUAACCAGAAAAGUAGACGCGCCAGAUAGUCCCUAGUCAAUGAAAUGAGGGGCUGGAAAUGAAGUGAGGUGUUCUCCACAAGUUCAGCACAAUCACCUCCAAUAUUUAGUGAUCCAGUUGAUGUGUUAUCUGAUUGCGGAGGAGUCUUGGAAUGCAUCUUAGGAGAAAGGGUUGCAAGAAGGCCAUGGACCACAGAAUGGAUGGUUUCUUUUAAUUCAGGGGAUGUGGGUUCUGAUAACUCAGCAACCUGUUCAUGUUACAACCAUAUAUAUUAGCAGCAUAUCUAAAAUAAGUCAAGCAGUUCAUCGCUUGAGCUGGUCUUAUAUUAUAUAUAUGUAAAGAACUCGGCUAAACACAAGUAGAACGAACACCUGUGCUCCAGUGGUUAUGAAAGAACAAAAAAAUUCAUAGUAACGGUGUUCUCAUAGCAGAUUCAUAUGAACACUUUGAAAACAUAAAUACUCGUGUAGGAACAUGUAGCUACGGUUAAGAUUGCACUAGUAGGGACAAUGUUAAACCAAAAGCUGUAAAUCGUCACUUUACACACACACCCCAACAUAAUUAGAGUUAAAAGUGGGGUAAUGAACAUUGAAAUUAGUGUAAGGAAUUGCGGGAUCAGAGAGAUAUUUGUGGCUUUAAAAUCUAUGGGCAACAUUAUGUCAAUUGAAAAACGCCUUACCAAACACUGGGGGGAAGAACCAAAAAAUAAAAAAUCAUUGCUCGUCAAAUUCUCGGAAACAGGACUGACAUUAAGAAAAUAAAACUGGAUACUAGACAAUAAAAAUAGCUUUACACUCGGUACAGUUGCAAAAGAAGAUGGAAAAAAAGAAAGAAAGACGUUGAAUAUUAAAACUGCUAACUAUUGGAACGGUUAUCAAAGAAAACUUUCUUAGCUUAUUCUGAUGAAACAACAGGAACAUCAAGAAAUUUUACAUAUCAGAAAGGAUUAUCAUAUAGAAUCGCCACUUUCAUGUGCCGAGCCAUUAGCAAGUUUUUUCAAACAUUAUAAACAACAGCAAGACCUCACUAGUACUUUACUAAGAGCAUUAAACCCUGUAAACAACCAGUUUGAUACGAAGCAUGCAAUCACUGCAUCUGAUAGUGGAAAUCAUCUUAUGUGAAGCAUACAGCAUCUGAUAGUGGAGAUCAUUUCAUGUAAAGCAUACAGUGAUUAGAAAAUAUUAGGCAAAAUUCUAAGGAAGAUAUUCUGUAGGAAAAUAAGCUUCGAAUAAUUAUUACCUUCUCUGGUUGUAGUGACCUUAAGUAGUCCAGUAAAUCAUUCUUUUCUUCACCAACAAAUUGUUGCAUUUGAAGAGCAGCACUUUUCCUCUUAACGUCAUGUAGUUCCUUUAACAGACAAGAAAAGGUAAGAAUACAUCCUGAAUAAAACAUAUGGAUAAAGCAGCAAAGAAAAACAAUUUUCUGUUUUUGGUUUUAUGGUCAGGUGGUAUUAUUGGGCCAGUUUCCAUGCACCAAGACCACCUAUCUGGAAUGGAUAUUCUAAUUCCUAGCAAAAGAGGGUGGGAAUUUAAACAUGCUGAGCAUGUCUCUGAAAAUUAACAAAUUAAAGGUAGAACACCGGAUAGGAUGUUGAGAUGAGAAAAAUAAGUUAUUAAAUGGGGGAAAAAACAAAACAGUAAUACAUGCAAACACUCAAUUGUUUCUAAUAGCAUUCAAUCACAUCGAUCAAACUCUCAUAAUAACCAUGGAGUAUUGCCACCAAAGACAUUUAACUCCGGAGUCAGAAAUUUAAUCACUUUCUCUCACCUAUGUGGACAUGGUGGCAAAGAAGAUACGUUACAUGAUUAUCAAAAAGUACAGGACUACAGAAAACUACUAUCAUUGGAAAUGGAACAUCUUCUAUCCUAAAUUACAGCACAUCUCUUCUUGAAAUGGGAAAGAUAUGUGUAUAGAAAGACAUGUAUGGCUUCAGGAUACUUUAGAAAAAGGAAAUGCAAAGUUUCAUAUAUGUGUGGUAUUUACAUAAUCAACUAGAUUACAUGCAAGCCUCAUAAGAAUUAAAACAGCAUGAACACGGUCAAAAACCUAACAAAAAGUGUUCUCAUAAGGAAUCCUAAGCACCAAAACCCAUGAUACUCACAAGAAUGCAGAUAAACUCGCAUCUGAUUAGCUUUAAACCGACUCAUAUAAUUCCUCUAAACAAACCUUUCCAUCUCAACUCAACAAAGCUUUUCGUUUCAACAGUCUGAGGAUUCCUAUGAAAACACCCUCCCAUUCCAUAAGGCUGCAUCCUUUGUGACGCCCCUAUUGGACAUCCAAGUAAGUCAUAUUCUGCUACCAUGCUACCAACAAACUAGCAUCCAGGUCCGUGUGGGACAUUCUUAACCAUCAUUUAUCAUCUCAAAAUUAUAAAGAAAAUAAACUACGACUUGUCUGCGUUCCAAGGGAGUUCUAGAAUGCUAUCGCAUACCUUUGUAACAGAAGAUAAACAAGAUUGCAAACGAAGAAUAUAUUGUUGAGCUUCGGGGGAUAUUUCACCAAGGCCUUGGAGAUCAAUGUUAUUGGAUGGGUCUUCCAUGGUUUUUUCAAAUUCAGUAUCCUUUCCAAAACUUUGAUUUGUUUUUUCACUUUCUAGCGCUGUCCUUUGAAGUUCAUUUCUUGGAUUUUCUUGCGCUUGCUUUUCAGGAUCUUUUUCGUGUAUAUCAAGGUUUCUUUCAAGGCAAAGCCUGUACUCAGCAUUCCGCAGCGUAUAACUGAAAUUCAAGGAGAAAAACAAUUCAUGAAUAUCUACUGUGUUACAUAACACUGAUUGUAAAAAAAGAAUAAACUAAAGGCAGGCUUCUCAAAACAUCAUGUCUUGCAUAAAGUGUUCAAACAACUAACCAUCAAAGAAUUAAUUGCACAAAUAACUUCUUUUCCCUUUUGAUCAUGUGUUAUUAAAUGGGCCUAGACAAAUAACACCCUAUAUAAGCUACAUAACAAAAACAAUAAAUUGAAAAACAAUUACCAAAAUGAUAUCAAUCCCUUCUGACAUCAGAGAAUAGAAAUAUUUAGUAGUAUAAGAAAACUGAUCAUACCCUGUCAUCAUUGAAGAGACCAAUAACUUUGAGAGAGAUUCCCACCAAGCCUCGAUAAACACUUGAAACCGGUCUGAUGGAAGUAAGCCCAACAUGCCUGAGAUGGUCCUCUUCAUAGCAUCCAAUGUUGUAGGUGAAACGUCUUUCUGGAUAAGGCUCACAUCUAGUGGCUCUAUCUCUUGUAUCAAAUCUGAGAGAACUGAUUUCUGCAAGAAUAGACACUCUUAAUCACUACGAAUAUCAUAUGACCCUUCAAGAAUUAAAUUGAACAGUUAAUCAAAUACCAACUACAAACAAUCUUGAACUCAACAUGCAAAUUGAUUUUCCUGUUGCUUGUUAUCGUCUACAUACAAAAUUACCACGACUUGGUAGUAAAACAAAGUGAUCAAUAAAUUGACCAAUUAUGAAACAGUAGUUGCAUAGAGCGUAGCAAACAAAAUCACAAACCAAAUGCAAACUUCGUGACAUGGAAGAGAAACAGAUGUAAUUUAUAGACCCAGCUCAUAUUGCAAAAUGAAAACAAACCAGUUUAUCAUUGAAAAUUCACGAUGUACACUCUCAUUCCACAAUAACAGCUUUCAUCUGAUGAAUUAUCUAUAGUAGUUCUUACUUGCUCUCCCUGCCUAUAAAAACUUUUAAAUGUUAAACAACUCAGUUCACUUCAAAUCUUACAUUUUGCCAAAAUUCAAUACCAGCAGCUAACAUACCACCUAAAUUUAAGCAAGCGCGCCAUAUUUACAUCCCAAAUCAUAUCACAAUCCAUUUGUUUCAUAAUUUCAUUCAUUAAAGCACUCAUGAAUUCAAACAAAGCCAAUAGUAUCAAAUUCAGUUGUUUCGCCUUAAACCUAAUCCCCAAUAAUUCAACAAGUUCAGAGGCUCAAUUAAACCUAAACUUCACAAAUCCCAUCAACUAUCAUCAAAUCCAUAACAAAAACUAAUUAAUUCUAUAAAAAUAACACCCAAUAUAAAAAACAAAGUCCAAUCCAAUCCAAUUGAAAGAGAAAAGGAAAAGGAUGGAGAGAUAGAGAUACUAACCAACCUUAUCAGCAGACUCUCGAUUAAACUCGAAUCCAUCGAAGGAAGAAUCUGAAGCAGGCGAAGCAAGGAUUACGGUUUUGAUUUUUCUAGAAUUUGCAGUAACAGUGGCGCGAAGAGGGUGAGAGAAGGGGAAGGAGAGAGAGAAAGAUGGCGGCGUCUGAUGUGGAUAGUGAUUAGAGGAGAAGAGCAGAGGAAGAGGAAGAGAAGAAGAGGAGAGAAAGGUUGCCAUUAAAAACGCAACCUUUUUAGAUAUCUUUCCCUUCUUCUUCUACCUCUUCUUUUCUCUCCUCUUUCUCUCUGGAAAGUGAAAAUUUGGAGCCACAAUAUUUCUUCAAAGCGGACAAAAAGUAUAAAGCAAGAGAAAUGGUGGGUGACGUUACACAUCAGCAAAUAUAUCACGAAAGCCAGCACUUAUUUAGUAGAAUCCAAACAGGACUCUAUAUGUUUUUGCUUGAUUCAUAUAAUACAUGAUAAUAAACACACCAUUUUUUUAGAUAAAACACUCUCCACUCCUAUAAAAAAGAGUAAAAUUAUUUUUAUAUUUUGAAAGUGUUUUUAAAAUAAUUUAAAUUUUUUAUUUUAAAUUAUUUUAAUAUAUUUUAUUAAAAAUAAAAUUUUAAAAAUAAAAAAUAUACAAUUUCAAUAUAUUUUCCAUUUCUCAACCAAUCACUAGCCACCACGGGACUGCAAGUGCAUGUAGAUAAAAUAGAUGGAUACGUUUCCAACUCCCUUUUUUGACCUUACUUGUACGAGUUUGAAAAAUGUAUAAAUCAACUGGAAAAGGAAAACCGAAUCCUGUGCCAGGUCAGAAAAUAAAAACCUUCUUAAAACUUAAAAAUAAGAUGACAGUCUUGUGAAAUCAUUGAGAGUCUGUGAUAAUAUUAAUUAUAUCAUGCUUUAAUGUGGCUACCUUUUUAUGAAGUAGAAAUAUUAUGUAAUGCUUGUAAAUAUUUAAAUAGUGUUUUGUUGAGUUUUUUAUUGUAUUUAAAAUAUAUAAAAUUAUUAAUAUGCGCUAUAAUAUACUAAAAAUAUUAUUUCUAUUGACAUACUAAAUCAAUUCAUAAAACAAAUUCUUAAAACCUUGAACAACAUCAUCUUAAUAAUAAAAAAAAUGGAAUUUUGAGGGGUAUAGUUCAACAUGUCAAGUUCUGAAUUUGUUAUUUAGAUGUCACCAGUUCAAGUCUCACAAAUUUUAGAGUUAUCGAAGGUUUACAUGGUGUUAAUUUCAGGAUCCGUGAGAUUAGUUAAGAUGUGUAAAAGCUGGUCUGAACACCCAUAUUAAUUAAAAAAUUAAAAAAAGAAAAGAGACGGACGAUGCCUUCAUUGAAUUGUAAUUCUAUUUUAAUACGAUGUUGAUGUUUUGUAAUGCAUGUUGGAAAGGAAAGGAAAGGAAUGGCUAUUGUAGAGAAAAAACCUCGACAACGUAUAGAUUUUAUUUAAUCGAAUCCCACUUUACGAGUUUUAUAUCCACUCUGUUCGAAGAUAAAGUUUCUAUGGUUUCAUCGUCAAGACGGCAAAUUCAAUGAAUCAACAUGUAGUUAGUACAGCAUCAACCCAAUUUCUAGUGAUGUAAAAAAAUUGUCAUCUUAGAAUGGGAAGGCCAAUGCUAGAGCAUUUUCCUGAGCUUACAGACGACAAAACCAAUAGAAUUUGACUUGGUGUUUUAUUUUUUUAUUUUAGUUUGUUAAUAUUAAAAAUAAAUUUUAAAAAUAUUAUUUUAAUAUAUUUUUAAAUAAAAAAUAUAUUGAAAAACAAAGUGAUUACUACUAUAUCAUACUCAUGAAUGCAUGCUUUUUUUUUAUUUUUGCAUUUCAAAAGUGUUUUUGAAAAAAAUUAAAUUUUUUUUAUUUUUUUCUUGGCUUCAAAUUAAUAUAUUUUUUGUGUUUUCAAAUUAUUUUGAUGUGCUAAUGUCAAAAAUAAUUUUUAAAAAAUAAAAAAUAUAUUAUUUUGAUAUAUUUUUAUAAAAAACAUUUUAAAACACUCAUAGUACUAUCUUCCUCCUUUUUUUUUUUUUUGACUAAUCAAAUAAAUUCUUUAUAAUGUAUCAAUGUAAUUACAAGAAUGAGACCUCCAUUGUCAGAGAAUUACUCUUUUACCAUCUCAGUUAAAAAGCGUUUUCAUCUAGAAUGUUCCCAUCUGUGUCUAUUUUAUAAUCAUUUUCCCGUGACAGUGCCGAGGAGAUGAUUGCCAAUUCCCAUCCAAAUCACGUUUCCUAUUGCUUCCGCUAUGCUUAUAGCUGGUUUGUUCUUACGUUUAAAAUUAUUUUUAAAUGUAUUUCAAAAAAGUAUUUAGUUUAAAAAUAUAUUAAAAUAUUUUUUAAUAAUUUUAAUGUAAUAAUAUAAAAAAUAAAAUACAUUUAAAAAAAAAACAUUUUACACUAUAAUUUCAAUCAACCGGAUAUCAAAUUGGGCAUUGCAGUCCUCUGAAAAGAAAAAAAAAAGGCAUUGGGCUUUUCAGUCAUGAACAGUCUAAUAAAUUAACAUGGUCCCUUGUAGCAUCAGUUGCAGGCUUAAGGCCUUGGGAUAAAUCUGGGCCUUUAUUUGAGGGUGAUGAUACGUCAAUAAGUUAUUGGUGGGAUGGAGGCCCACUAAAAUUUUAUGUUUUGUCUCUGAGCCCACAACGGUAAACGUGACCAUUGUCUAUUAUUUUUUAAUAUUUAGAAGUAUAGUAAGAUUAAUUUUUUAAAUAUUUGUAUUUAUAAAUAUUAUUAAAAUAAUAUUUUUUUAUUUGAAAAAAAUUAUUUUAAUAUCUGUAAAUCAAAACGAUCCAAAAAAUAAUAUUAAAUCCAAAAAUCAAAAUUUAAAGAAAUACCAUUUGAAACACAAUGAGGUUUGGGGAGAUCAUCAUGUCCAAAUUAGUUCUUUCUAUAAAAUAUUUUUCAGAGUCUCUCUUUACAAGUUGAUAAAUUUGACUAGGUCCGAUUCCUUAGGUCACCGUUUUUUUUUUAAACAUGAGUUAAAAUAUCUACUCCAAUGAGUGCAGGUAUUAAAAAGAGUUAGUAAUUGUAGCUCUAGAAUUAUUGUCAUUAUUAACUAUUGUUUUUUUUAGGUAUCCUGAUAUUUUUAUUUUUAAAUUUAAUCUAUCUAUUAUUGUUUUUUUAUUUUUAUAAUUAAAUUAAAACCAACUAUGAUCUAAGUCGCUUAAAAAAAAAAAUCCCGCUCCGCCGACAUCAAGUCUAUUAGUAUGAUGAUCCAGUCUCAGUUGACACAGAUACCCGUUCAAAGAAAAUAGAAUUUGAACAUGGCGCAAAAUUUUCUCUCCUGUUUUUCCUCACACCGCUCAUUCAAAAGUUUGACAAUUUAGUUUGUCUUGACUGAUGCCCAACAAGUUUGACCAUGACAAUUGACUAACAAGUUCAUCUCAAAGACCAACUCGGUCCAAAGUCAGGAGCAGUGGUUCCAGGCUUCCAGCCAUAUGAACCGUUUGCUGCUCUAAUAGAAUUGCGUUUGACAAUCAUGAUGAAGUAAAAACGAGGUAGCUAGUGAGAAUUCACGGUGUUUUUUCAUUGCUGAAUCCAAAGAAGCUAAGAGAUAACGGAAAAUACUGUACAAGUUGGAGUCGCUAGUAACCAGACAUGGAUGAAUUGGAAUUAAAAAGUAGUCAAAUAUGUACGAGGGGAAGGUUCAGUGUAUCAAGAAAAGCACACAGACAUUGCCAAAGUGGUGUGCUGAAGUCGCUCCAGUUACUUGUUUCUGCUUUUGCCUUUUGCCACCAAAGUCCAACGCACCAUAUGCUGCCUCUGCAUGCUAUGUACCCCCCUAGCUAGGCCCCUCUCUGCUCGACGUUGCUCUUCUUGUUCGAAGCUUAAUAUCCAGCUACAUUUCUUUAAAUUUUUCCUCUCCAAUUAUAUAUAAUUCAGAACCAUAAGUAAUCUAAUUAUAUAAUUAAUUACAAGUAUAAUGAAAAAAAUCAAAGGAAAACCGCUCGUAGAAAUAGGAUGCAAAACCCACUAAGUUGCACCCUCUAUUUUUAUAAAUUCAUCAGCCCAUGUAUUUUCCAUUCAACACAUCCAUUUUCGAUUUCAUUUAAUUGAGUUCAUUUUUCAAAAUAUAAAAAUUAAAUUUUGGUUAAAUAAUAUUUUGACCAUGCAUUGCCAAACACCCAUUUAAUCGGUGCAAAAUAACUUUUACAUGCUUGUUGUUCCGGUUAUCUAUUUUUAUACUGGUUUUCAUUCUCUUUAUUGUUUUUUUAUUAACAUCGAUAUCUGAAUGAGUUAGCGCGCAUCUCGAUUAAUCCUUCAAAUUUCUCUUUACUGUUUCUCCUUAUUAUAAGAAAUGAACAUAUUCAUGAUAACAAUAAUUUUCAUUUUUAUUAAUUAUCGACCAGUUUAGAGUUGCAAAUGAACUUGUUCGUGACUCAUCUGGCUCCUCUACGGGAAAAAAAAAAAACUAAGUUUAGAUUAUCAAUAGUUUUAACUUCCCGUGAUAUUUUGCUUUGCCCAAUUACCAAACGUAGUGGACAGUGAUUCUCUGUAACAAACAAUGACAGUGAUAAUAUCCAAAAAGCAACUUCUUUGCAAUCCAAUCGAACCAAAGCAAAGGAGGGAAACUUCAUAGAAAGAAGCCAGAAGACAAAAUCUUACUCUCUUGGUGUCUUCCACUGAAAGACUUUGUCAAAAAUAGGUUUGGUAACAACUACUGGAAAGGUAAUAGUUGACUGAAAAAGAGUGAUAAAAGGCAAUACAAAGGAUUUGAAUCCUCUAAGAGCAUCUCAUCUCAUGUUAUUUAGCAAAUCAAUAAUAUAUUUUUUAAAUAGAAUAAAUAAGGUUUUUUUGUUUAUAUGCUCUCAAAUAAAAAAAUUAGAAGAGUUUGAUAGUAUUUUAAUGUAUUUAAUGCACACCUUUUUUAAUAUAUUUUUUAAAAUAGUAUAAAUAAGGUUUUUUUGUUUAUAUGCUCUCAAAUAAAAAAAAAUAGAAGAGCCAUUAACAUUUUAAUGUAUUUAAUACACAACUAUUUUAAUAACUUAAUAUGACUAGGUUGAUUUGACAUGUUUAAAAAUAACCCAAAUAAUUCUCUAUAAAAUCAAUAUUAAAAAAUAAUUUUUUUUAAAAAAUCAAUUAAAAAAUGAUAAAGUCAAUUUGAAUGAACAAACCAAAUCUAUAAGACGAGUCAUGAAAUUAAUAUAAUAUUAUAAAAAUCAAACUAGAAAAACAUAGAUUUAAAAAAAAAUCAAAGAAAAAAAAACAAUAAAAAUAUUAUUAUAAUAAAUAGUAUUUUGAUAUUUUUACAAGAUAUAUAACAACAACAUUUUUAUAAAAGAAAAGUAAAAUAAUAUUUUAUUUAGCACUCCCUCGAUCAUGUAAAAUAAACUUUGAAAAGUUAAAAUAAUAUUUUUUUUUUUGUUUCUGGCCUUUUCAUUUAGCAUAUCUGUUCUAGAUGCUCUAAAAAUAAAGAACAUAUAGCACGACGCGAUGCGCGCACGGUAAAACCAUGGCCACUUUUGCAUCACGUGAAUUGGCAACACAGGGACCGUCUUUGAUGCCCAUGGGUGCAGAUUGUCCCCUCUAAUCCACCUUCACGUGCAAAUAUUUGGUGGCCUAACGAGCACAUAAAUUGGACCAGACCGCAGCAGCUUGUAUUAGCAACCAUGGAUUCUUGACUUCAAGAAACGUGAGGCAAAUAAAAGGUCGGUUUUCACCUUCCACCAUCCUUCCUGUUCAGCUCCACGUUUGCUCCACUUCCUUAGUGAAUCCACUGCGUCUUCUUACAUCAAUAUUUUUGGCCGCCUGGUCAGUGCAGGACCUACCACCAAUCAACGGUGGAUUGUUUUUAGGACCCUGUUCGAGAUUUUUAUAUAUAUAUAUAUAUAUAUUUUAAUCUUUUUCUUUUUUACACAUCCUUUUGAAAACAAUAAUAUCUCUGUAAUUAACCUACAUAAAAAGACAUCUGGACAACCAUACCCAAGUGGUCUUAAUUUAUCCAUCUAUAAUUGAAAGUGACGUAUACAUGUUUUGCCGUCUAAUGUUUCCAAAGGCAUCUUGGUUUCAAUUUCGCUACAUAAUCUCCCCAACUUAUUAAUCUUUUGAUCUCAAUUCACGUAAGAAUCGUACAUAAAUAUUUUAGAGUAUAUCACUGCCCUAUGUUAGGGCUGAAGAGGCUAAUCCAAUUUGUUUUUGUGUUGCUGGACUCCAAAACGCAUCAACACGCAGCGCAACGAUCGAUCAGGCUCAUAUAUUAAAAUUCCCUGCCAUUCAUGGAGACGCCCUUUCAAUUAAUUAGCUAAAUAUUGAUUACAAGAAAGGUUUCGUGGUGUCAUUAAUUUGUUUAUUGAGGCACAAGUCUGUGUCCAAUCAGUUCAUAACUCUAAUAAUCUAUAGCCCAAGGGUCUCAUGGUCUCGUCAUCGAGUAAUGAUGCAAGCUUUGCCGAGUAAAAGCCCCUGAUAAUUUUUCAGUGGAUUAAUGGUCCCCCGUCCCCGUACCAUAUAUUUUUCAACAAAGAGGGAAAAAAACAUUUACACGUCACUCGUUGAUUUAGAUAGUUAUUACAAGUCAAGGUCUCUAAAGCUGAAAUUUCCAUAAAAACCUAAACAGAGAAAUCGGCAGCAAAAUCGAUUAUGCUCCCCCUUCGUAUCCAAACACUCCGGUCUCAAUUUCACUGUUGAAAAUUGGAGUUAUAAAGCUUUAUACAACUCCAACGGAAUAAAUUGAGCUUCAUUCUUGCAUAACUCAACAGCUUGAGCUCUCCGUUCUUCGUAAUGCUUCACUUAUGUUUUUAUUGUAGAAUUAAAGUUUGUGAGUUUAUAUAUUAGCGAGGAAUGAUUUUUAAUUUAUUAUCUCAAAUAAAAAUAUAAUUAAUGGCAAACAUGCUUCAAUUAUGUUUAAAUAUUUGUUUGGUGUAUAUGUUUGAAUAUUUGUGCGGUAUGCGUAAUGCCAGUCACUUACAAUUGAUAUAAAACAAAAAAAUAUAGCAUGCAUGUUAAUAAUAAAAUUAAUUAUAUUUAAAUUAAAACAAGAAUGAUACUUACUCGUUGAAACACUUUAUCAAUAAUGAUUGUCUGUUCUUAAAACUUUAUUAUUUUUUACUUUUGCAAUUAAAAUGUUUAUAAUAUAUCUUUCAAGAUUCCAAUAACUUCACAUUAAUUUAGAUACACGUUGAAGAUAAUAUUUAUUUUUGCGGUCCAACCAUGUUUUUGAAAAAUUCUGAUCUCUUUUGAUGUGAUGAUAUCAAAAAUAAAUUUAAAAAAAAUUAAAAAUAUAUAUUUUAAUACAUUUCCAAGCAAAAAACAAUUUGAAAAGUAACUUCUAUCACAAUCUCAAACAUUGCCUUGAACAAAGUCUUUGAACUAAGGAUUAUGUAACUAAAAUAUCUCUCAAUAAGAUAAAUAUGGGCUCUAGAUUUAGAAGAAAAAUCAAAGUAUGAAAAGAAGAAUAAAAAAAAUGAGGUGCGAGGAAGAGUGUGUAAAAUCUAAAAAUUCAAGUUCACAACUCUUUUAUCCACCGUUUUUUUAUAGUGAAUUUUAAAAGUUAAAAAGAUUAAAGAAUUAAUAAAAAUUAUUUCUCAUCACCACUAACUUUUGAUUAACCAUUAUAAAUCAAGAAUUAUAUCCGGAAAAAUCAAUGGUAUUUUUAGUAGAAAAACCAAGAGAAAUAUUAUUUGAGAUUAAUUUUUUAUUCACCAAUUAUUAAUUAAAACAAGUUUCCAACAUUUAUAUACCUAAACGUUCUUUGGCUGGGACAUCACCCAGUACAAGGUAAUUUUUUGUAGAAGUUUUUCAAUCAGAAGUAAGUAUUUUCAUAGUAAAUUUAAGCCUAUCCGGUCAAGAAAUACACUAUGAUCCGACAAUGAAAUUCAUAUGAAUUUUUUUUGUCACAAUAUAACUUUAGGUUUGAAUGCCAAUGAUUAAGCAAGAAACAUGCCUCUUAUUUAACAAUUAGGACAACUCCUUUUUUUUUUUUUUUUUUGAGUAAUUGUUAGCAAUUCAAAUUUGAUGAACAGUCUCGGGUUGCUUAUAUCAUCCCCAAUAUUACAAUAUCUAAUUAAUGUAAGUUAGAACCAAUAAUAAAGCAAAGAGGAUCCAUGUAUUAACUUUUUGGCACUCGGCUAACUAUUCUAGCAAGCAAAAUGACAUACACUGUCCAUGCCUGUCUAUUUUAAUUCUGGCAAGGGGCACCAUCCGUAGACAGGCCAUAUGCAAUGCAUAUCUUGCUCGGUGCGCUAGCUACAGUGGAGUGUUCGUCCGUGCGAUGACUAAUUGAUUUAUUCACUCUCGAUAUAAGUAUGUCGAAGUUAUUGUUGGAUUCUUCAUGUCAUUUUCAAAUAUUAGGAAAGUAAAUCCUCGGAUUAAUCUAUCACAGUGCUGAUGUUCUUCGGAACUUAUAUUUCUAACACAUACUUUUUCUCAAUUAUCAGCGCACAAUCAAUCAAACAACAUACCUGCACUAUUUUUCCCAGAUUAUUCCCCAUCAUAUUAAAAAAAAUAAAAACAAAACAGGAAGUGAAGGAACCACAGAGGAAAUAAGACACACGUGAUUGCCCCUGCUGUACUACAGUACAGUCUGGGAAUCCCGUGUAGGUUGUGUUCCAAUCCUAAUUAAAUCUUUGCUGUGUCUUGAGAAUUCUCAUUGUUUUCCGUACUUGGAUUAAUAAAUAUGCUUCAGACACUAAGAACUUAUAAUGUAUUGGCCAACAGGAUAAACUAAUUGAGGAUUUUUGCUGUUACUCUCCAGUAGUUCAAGCUGGAUUCAUGUUGUUAGUCGCACAAAAUUAAAAUAAUGUGUCUUGUCUAUAAAAUAAGCAACAGAGCCGCAAGUAUACCGUUCUCUAUAAUCUUUUUAUUGAACAACAGAUGUAACAACCGUUUUUUUUUAUUUUUUUAUGAUCACCAGACCAUUUCUGAUAUAUGAGUACUAACGAUGAGUCAAACCGAUUGUUUUUGUUUUUGUAUGAAUUCCACUCUUUGAUCAUGAACUCUUCAGGGCAUAGUUUUUUCACGAUACUUUGUAGCAUAUUUUAAAUUGUUAAAAGGCAGGCAGGCCAACUUUCAGAUAAAAAACAACAUUCACUAGAAGAAUCCCCCUCCCCCUCCCCCUCCCCCACCCCACCAGCCCACUUGAAGUUCUCUGUUUUUUUUUUUUUUUUCUUGUCUCGUUUUUGACAAAAAGAAGAGGCUGAUUUAGAAUGGCAGACGAGUUCCCAAGUCCUGACGAGUUUGGCUACGUAGGAGCACGCAAUUUUGAGGACAGGAUCAGUACGCAAUGUUUGUCUCUCUUUAGUAAACGGUUUUGGCUGGCAUUUGACAACUAGUAUACAUCUUCUUAUUUAAGCCAUGCAUGAUGUGAGGUGACAACCUUUAUACUUGCAAAUCGGUGCUCAAACUGAAUAUUCUAGUUAAAUUUGAAUUUGAAUGUGUAUGAAUUAGAUUAUCUACCUGCUUGAAUGACAGAAUUUAUUCUUGAUAUUCUUUUUAAAAAAUGGCUCUAUUAUAGCUUAAAAAGAAGAAGAAAACCUUUUAGUGACAUGUACGGUCCUUGCGCAGGAUACCGAGGAAAUAAAGAAAUUUUAUAUGCACUCUAUGACGCAUCUGUUUCACGUUGGAAGGCUAAUAUAACAGCGAAAAAUGUCUCACACGCCGGCCAUGGGUCACCGUCGAUGACCAGCAUCUGUCCAAAAGCAGCCGCGUGGUGGGUGACGCGUAUAACAUCUUGCCCCGCAUCUCUUCGCUGACAUGGCGGUCACCUAACCCCACAUGCCCGCCUUAUUUCUAGCCAUGUCUACGUGUUGUGGGACCCACUGUGUCCCCUGGUAACCCAACAUUUUAUCAAGGACAAUUGUUUUGUUGGUGUCUAAAAUUUCCCUUCCCAAAUCCCAAUCAAGUCCGUCAGCUUCCUUCCUAUCUCCCUUUUGCCCCUUUAGGUCCCUCUCUUACAUGGCUCAUGACGUGGCAUACCAUUUUCCUUCACGUAAGGCCACUGCCGACUGGCUUAAUUCACCUAUAUAAAGCCCAGCAAAGCCACCCUCCAUUCUCACACUUCAACUCUCAACUUCUUAAUUCUACUAAUAUACCACACCCCAUCUCUUUCUCUCUCUAAAAACACAUUUUUCCUUCUUCUUUCCCCUCCCUCUAUGGCUGUUGAUAAUGCUCUUUCAUCACCUCUUGGUCCUCCAGCGUGUGAGAAAGAUGCUAAAGCUCUUCAAUUCCUCGAGGAAAUGACUAGAAAUGCUGACUCCGUUCAAGAGGAUGUUUUGGCUAAAAUCUUGACCCAAAACUCCGAGGUUGAGUACUUAAAACGGUUCAAUCUUGAUGGUGCAAUUGACCGUGAGACUUUUAAGUCUAAAAUCCCCAUGAUUAGAUACGAGGAUCUUCAGCCUGAAAUUCAACGAAUUGCUAAUGGAGAUCGCUCUUCCAUCUUAUCAGCUCACCCCAUCUCAGAAUUCCUCACUAGGUGAGUUUUAUACAACUAUAUUACUUGUAAACUUUCCUUGUGUACAUGUGAUUCUUGGCCUAAUUAAGUUUUUGUCUUCUUGAUUUUUUAUAGUUCCGGGACAUCUGCUGGUGAAAGAAAGCUCAUGCCAACAAUUAAACAAGAGCUGGAUCGUCGCCAAUUAUUGUAUAGUUUACUCAUGCCAGUAAUGAACCUGUAAGUUCCAAAAAAAAAUUAUUUCCAAUAAACGCGUUCAUGUUAAUUAUGCGAGCUUCAUUUAAUUUCAGCUCACAUGCAUGUGUGAUUUUUUUUUUAUAUGUAACUUUUAUACUGAUAAAAAUGCAAUUUUUUUAUGCAACAGUUACGUGCCUGGGUUAGACAAAGGCAAAGGCUUAUACUUCUUGUUUGUGAAAUCUGAAACAAGAACCCCAGGAGGUCUCUUGGCUCGUCCGGUGCUUACAAGCUAUUACAAGAGUGACCACUUCAAGACACGUCCAUAUGAUCCUUACAACGUGUACACAAGCCCGAAUGAGGCCAUUCUUUGUGCAGAUUCAUUCCAGAGCAUGUACACUCAGAUGCUCUGUGGCCUUCUAGAGCGCGAACAAGUGCUCAGGGUCGGUGCAGUCUUUGCCUCCGGCCUCCUCCGUGCUAUAAGGUUUCUCCAGCUUCACUGGCGUGAACUUUCUGAUGAUAUCGAGUCAGGAAUGCUAAACAAGAAAAUCACUGACCCGACGGUCAAAGAUUGCAUGGUGAAUAUUCUGAAACCGAACCCAAAGCUCGCAGAGUUUGUCAGGAUGGAGUGUGGUAAGGAAAAUUGGGAAGGGAUCAUUACAAGAAUUUGGCCUAACACCAAAUAUCUUGACGUGAUCGUCACUGGAGCCAUGGCCCAAUAUAUCCCUACCCUUGACUACUACAGUGGUGGCUUACCUAAAGCAUGCACCAUGUAUGCCUCAUCAGAAUGUUACUUUGGGUUGAACCUCAACCCAAUGUGCAAGCCAUCAGAAGUUUGCUACACAAUCAUGCCGAAUAUGGCCUACUUUGAGUUUUUACCCCAUGAGCCUGCUGGGAUCAGUCAGGAUUCAACUCCAAAACUUGUUGAUCUUGCUGAUGUUGAAUUGGGUAAAGAAUACGAGCUUGUUAUCACAACCUACGCCGGUUUAUACAGGUAUCGAGUUGGUGACAUCCUUCGAGUUACUGGGUUCCACAACUCAGCUCCUCAAUUCCAUUUCGUACGAAGAAAGAAUGUAUUGCUCAGUAUUGACUCAGACAAAACAGAUGAGGCCGAGUUACAAACGGCCGUCGAGAAUGCAUCGCAACUUCUACGUGAAUUCAACACAAGUGUAGUUGAAUACACAAGCCAUGCCGAUACAAAGACGAUUCCAGGGCACUAUGUGAUUUACUGGGAAUUAUUGGUCAAAGACUCAGCAAACUCUCCUGGUGACGAGGUACUGAACCAAUGUUGCCUUGCCAUGGAAGAAUCUUUGAACUCGGUGUAUCGACAAGGUCGAGUCGCAGAUAAUUCAAUUGGACCACUAGAGAUACGUGUGGUUAAAAAUGGUACAUUUGAGGAGCUGAUGGAUUAUGCGAUUUCAAGGGGGGCAUCCAUUAAUCAGUAUAAGGUACCAAGGUGCGUUAAUUUUACUCCGAUCAUGGAGUUGCUUGAUUCUAGGGUGGUAUCCAAGCAUUUUAGCCCAGCUUUGCCACGUUGGGCCCCGGAAAGAAGAAGGUGAUUUCUUUGGGCGCGUCCAACCACAUUAAUUAAGUCAAAUGGAUUCGAAUGUAGAAUAAUAAUAGAUUACUUAUUAAUAUUAGAUUUCUUCUUUUUCUUGGUCUUUCAUUCGAGCGAGGAAUACAUCUGAGAAAAGCUAGCUAGGUAGCUUUUGGGACCAACUGUUAAAGGUUAUUUACUGAUAAGGAUGUUUCAGAGUCAGGUUUUGUGUUGUGGUUCACUUAACCUGUGGAAAGGGUGUGACCUUGACCAAUGUGUUUGUCUAGUACAUGAAACGUUUCUUUCAGAUGUAAUGGACCUUGCAUGUAGUUUACUUUUUUUCUUUCUGACAUGUUUAUAUCUUUUCCACGUAUAUUUGUUUGGUCUAAAACAUGCUUAUGAUCAUCGCUUCAGCGAUUGCCGACAGAAACGGAUUAAUUGAACAGAAGUACAAAUUAAAUGAAAGCAAUUAGGCAAAGACCAUAGCAUAUUUGGUCUUCUUCUAGAUAUAUAACUAGUAGUCCAAAUGUUUUGAGCGUCGUCUGCAAGGAAAGAGAAGUGAAAAAAAGAAAAAAAAAACUUAUUAGUUUGAAAUACAUAUUACAGCAAGAAUUAGAUAAUCCAAAUAACUUAAUUUAUUAAGCACAUAUUUUUAAUUUAAUAGAAAGUUCAAGGAACCUUGAGCUACAGUAACCUACGAUAAUCCUCUCAUGAUUUUUAAUUCUAUAUUUUACUAUAUAAUUUUCCCUUGAAAUCUACUGCCCAGACUGCUAAGCAUUAAUGAACUAGACAUCCUUUGCCGUAUAUAGUUAGGCCAGUACUAGCUAUUAGUAAUAUUCUAUUGAUUACAUAAUAAAUUCAUUUAAAAAAAAAAUACAUAAAUAAAAACAAAAUAACAUUCAUGAUUUACUAAAAAUGAUAUAAAUAUCUUUCUUAUUAAUUUGUAUUUAUUUUUUCUUUAAAAUAGAUUUAAAAAAUAACUAAUAACUUUAUGAGAAUCAUAAGAUUUCUCCAAGUUAAUUUUGCCGUAGUUAAUUUGGAAAAACAGUGAGAGUAUGGAUAUUUGUUUUAACCCAGAAAGGUCAUGGAUUAGAGUUAGUAAAAGCAUAAAAAAAUGGAACCAGAUUAGUGUGUGACUUAAUGACUUUGGUGGAUUAUAAUCCGUCAUGGGUACAAGUCUAGUUCUACAAGUUUCUCAAAAUAUACAAUUAAUGUAUAUAUUUGUUAUUGAGUUUUAACCUAUUUUUUAUUAAAAUUAAAUAUUUUUUGAUAUUUUUAAUUUUUUUUGAUGUAUUAAUAUUAAAAAUAAAUUUAAAAAAAUAAAAAAUAUAUUAUUUUAAUACAUUUCUAAAAAAUUAUAUUUUAAAAAAUAACUACCACACAGUCUUAAAUAAACAUUCAAACCCAACUCUCCGGCAGCUACACUUUAUAGCCAAGGUCAAGAUAGAAAAGUCUUGUGUCCCCUUCAAACAUUUUUUUUUCUUUUGUUUCGGAUAAUUUGAUAUUUUGCUCAGCGGCACAAAGGCAGCUCUUAAAAUUCAUGACGCAGACUUCAACCGAACCACGAGUCCUCUGAUACUUUUCAUAUUCAACUUUUCUCUUUUUUCUUUUCAGUGAAUUAUCAGGAUUGUCUGCAAAUAGAAUUGUCAUGGAAAUGAUGUGGAUGUAAGCUUAGAGCAUCAAGAAAUAUUCUAGCAUUUCGAGGAAAUUAUGUACUUAAUCACACCACACAAAGAUAAUUAAACGGAUGUUGUUGUAUUUUUCUCUGAUUCCCACACCCACUUUUAAGGAAUAUAUAUUUUGCUUCUUUCUUUAAUUUCAGGUUUUAUCAUUUAUUCCAUGUGAAGGAAAAUGACUUGAACGUACCCUUCAAGAAAUUAUGACUCCCAUUCUAAACCAAGGCAAGCUAGUUGAUAUUAGAGAUAAUAUAAAAUUAAACCAUCAAUUCCUGAUUAAUUAAGCUUUACAUAACAAUUUUAAUUUUAAUUAAGUUGACAUGCAUGGUUUUUUAACAGUUAAUAUACCCACCAUUAUAAUUAAACCAUAUUAAUUAAUAAAAAUUUCUAACACCUCGAACUAGAGAUUGCAUAUAUUCUUUUUUAAUUGAAGAUCCAUGUUUUCCCAACUAUUAUGCCGGUUGAUAGCUACUACUACAUUAAAUGUCAUACAAUUCGAUCAACCACUUAUAAAUUUUGUUCUUUCUUCAUGUGAUGCCUACAUAUCCUAUCGAACUCCUAAAAUAUGUUGGGACUUUCGUAAGCAGCAGGUGUGGUGGAAUUUAUUAAGACCCAAGGGCUACAUAUUAAUCUAAUCGGCCGAUCGAUGGUGAGAACCAGGACCACUCACUCUACAUUUCUGACUUGUUUCUCUAAUGGAGUGUUUUUGGGAGAUAUAUUAUGGAGGCUUGCCGCUCUUGUGUUAUUCCAAGAGCAAUUGAUCUGGUAUGUUAAUGUCAUGAGCCAACUCAUUUUUUGUCCAACGUAAGGAUUACACAAGGGACCAUCCGGCCUCAUUAAUUAGCCAGCCAACUUUGAAAUUACGUAUUACCUGCUCCUGUGUGGUCCAAGUUUUUGAGCCGAGUUGCUAAAAUAUUCUUCAACAAUCAAUUAAUUAACCCCUCGUUUUCUAUCCAAUUCCUGACAGUUUUUUAGUGCUCUGGUUGGUUCGUGAUUUUUCACCAAGGAAAAAAAGUUGGCCCAUGGUAAAGCUUAUUAUAUAAUAGUUAGCAUGCAUUGUAGUUAGUUCUUUAAGAAAAUAUGAUGAAUUAUAUAUGUUUCUUUUCUCUUCUUUUUUCAAAAUCAUAUUCAUGAUAGAUUACGAAGUUCGAAGAAAGUUCCGCUACAGAAUUCUUGGUCUAGAAGUGGGUAGUAAAUGGAAGAAAAUCUUGCGAAAGACGUGAUGGUGGGGGUUUACUUUCAUGCUGCUUUCCUUUUGUCAUAAAGUCUUUGAGAUCAGUAUCUCACACUAUUACGAGUUAGAUUGUGAAUUAUGAUUGAUAGGUUGCUAACCCUACUCCAAUAGAAGUCCGAAGAACAUAAGUUUAUGUACUUUAAUGCUUAUGAUUAAGAGAAGGGUUUCAGAAAAUGCUGGAUGAUUAUCCAUUUGGGUAGGUACCACAUGAAAUUAUUGAAGAUUUGAAUUAGUUAAAACCCAACAAACAACAGUCUCGUUUCAGAUGAUAUGUUUGCCAUUAGACAGGCCAAGUCAAAGCAUAUAGUGUUCAAACUGCUGUCUUGAUGGAAGCCACUGAGUUUUGUUCUAAGAGGAGACACAAGAUCCACUAACAGAACCUUUUCAUUUCCCUUUGAAAUUUCUGAAAUGGGUUAUUUGUUGAUAUAUAUGUUCUGGUUAGGUAGGAUACAACCUUGUUGAAUCACUGUACAUGUAAUAAAAUGAAAACUUUCACUUAUUGCUAAUUAAUUUUAUUUGAUACCAGUAAAUAUUUCAUAAUGAAAAAAAGAGAGGUGUUUUUAUAUAAGAUAUACAUGCCAACUCAUUAAUCUAGACUUAUGAGUUGGAGGUAAUACUCAUCUUUUAUGUGUAAUCCCUCAUGAGUGCAAAUCCAAUACAAACACCGAGGCCUAGCUUCCUAAUAAAUUGAUACUAGACUCGAAGGUGUGGCUCGAGACGAGAGAUAUUUGUGGUUAGGCUCCAAUAACUUUGACGGUUUCCUCUUGAUUAAUCAAAAGAGCUAAGCUUCAAAUUUUGAAUACCGCACUCGAAAUAUUAAAUACUUCGGUUAGAACGAGAGUUGUGUUUAAAUAGACUAGACUUCCAUGUGAGGGGAAGGUUUGUAAUUAAGGUAUACAUGUGAGUAGUAAUUAUACCACCUAGAAAACGAAUGUAAGAAGAAAAAUGCUUAUACAUAAGAUAAAACCAUAACCCCUUAGUCUAGGCUUUUAGGUUGGAGGUGGUGUUCAUCCUCAUACGUAAGCUCUCUUAUGUAUGCAAGCUCAAUGCAGAUGCUAAGGCCUAUACAUCUUCUUGAACUCAAACAACUCCCUCCCUCAUAAACUGGUAUUUGAGUCGAAGAUUCGGCUCGAGAUUAGUGACGAUUAUGGUUAUGAUCUCAUGGCUUUGUUUGCUUCCUCGUAUUUAAGAAAAAUUAAAGAACUGAGCUCCAAGUCCUGGAUAUAGCAGUUGAAUUGUUAAAUACUUUCACUAGAGGGAGAUUUGCUUCUCGAUACAUAAACCCUUAACAAAUUUAAUGAUGUUUAAAGAAUGAAAAUAAAGGAAGAAAACAAUAUUGAAGUUGAACAUCCUCCCAGGGAAAGAUCUAUAGUCCCUCCCAUGAAAUCUAUCAUAUAGAGCCCUCAAGAACAGUGAAAUAAGUUGAACCUUGGUUCAUGCUCAAGUUAGUAUAAUAAGUUGGUGCAACAAAUCAUUCAGCUAGCCCUUUUUUAUAUCAUAUUUAAAAAGAUUAUAAUCUAAGUCAAAACUAGUUUUAAAUUUUGAUGAAAAUAUAAAAAUGCCUUCGUAUAUUAAUAACUUAGGUUCCUUUUUUCUAUCAUCAAAUUCCUAAUUCUUAAUCUCUACAAAUCCCUAACUUCCACUUCCUUGUCUCCUGAACCACCACUCUUCUUGAAUCUUGAUGGUUUAAAGAAAAUCACCACAAGCUACCCACAAUUGAUGUUGAUAGAUUAAAAAUUAUUUUAUUUUUAAAGAAAAUCAUAAUAAACUACCCGCAACAACUCCAAGACUGAACCAGACCUAAACACCCGAUCUAUACAAUCAGACCAUCACCAGCCAAGCUACCAGAACCAACAAAUUAGCCCCUGCGUACCAUGCACCGACGGAGCCAAGUCUUGAAGUACCAGACUAGCACAUCUAGCAAAAACCCACCCACAC
rnacentral:lncRNA from 1 species